rnacentral:lncRNA from 1 species
UGUUCGCUAAUCUGAUUGGCUACAGCGGUCAAAUUUCUCGUGGUUGAUGGCAAAUUCGACGAUUUGAUAAGGGUUUUCAGCAAAGACGACGCCAUUGUUGUUAUUUGCUAUUUUACCCGCAGCAGCAGCAGUAGCAGUAGCUGAGAGAGAGAGAGUAGCAAGAUGGUACCCUCAAAAAUUAAAUGGGCCUCGGAUUUAGUUAAAUAUUGGGCUAUACUCUUAGGCCCACACCGCCUCAUGGAAGAAGGAAAAAUAAAAAAUAAAAGGAUAAUUAAUUAUUUUUUUAAAUCCUAAAUUUUAGUUUAAAACCUGACUAUAAAAAGUCUAAUAUUCUCGGAUUGUAUUGUAAUUACCUCGACCUUUUUUUUUUUUUAAAUGAAUAUGAUAUAUCUAAAUUUAACUAAAAUCUAAAUAAAUAUGAAUGCUUAAAUUAAUUCUCAUAUUUCGAACAUUCUUGAAACCACGAUCUAGCUUCUUAAGACCUAAUUUCUGGGUUCAUGCUCCAAUGAGUUAUCUAAAUAUCAGUCUCUUCGAUUAAUUUGUUAAUCAAUCAACUAUUGUAUAUAGAGAUGCAUUCAUAAAACUCUAUACAAUUAUUCACAUGUUGUACACUUGAUUACGGUAUACCAGCGUUCAUGUUCAUCAACCAGAUCAUCAUAUCUUAAUGAUGCAGGCUCGUGAUCAGCAGCUGUAUCAGGCUGCAGCUACUGAUUCCCAUGCGCUGCAUAUCCAACGUCUGGAGGCAAAUAUCAGCGCCGUUUGCAAGAAGCUAUCACCAGUAUCUCCGUACUUCCAGACCUCGUAUACCACCAGAGGUACAAUCCAAUGACCAUUUCCCCGACCAGUAAACUAUUACCUGGCCUUUCUUCAUCAGUCCUUUGACUCAAAUCAGAAUAUCCAGAAUUCAGUUGUAUUCAGUGUUAGAUACAAUAGGAUCUAUGAGGGUUUUAUCUUUGAUCCAACUUCCAGGUUCUUCAUGAAUGGUAUUCUCACAGAAUUCAUAGAAUCCAAAAUAUCAUUCGCUUCAUGUUCCUUCCCUGCAUACCUGUAUAAAUGCACAGCUGCACUCAUGAUAAACUUGUCUGAUUCUGAGGACUCUCUGACCUCUUCAAAAAGGUUUAUUCCUUCCUCAAUGUAUCCAUGGUCCAUGUAACCUUUCAGCAUUGUCCGAUAACAAGCAAGGUCAGGAAUUAAACCAGCUGCGAGUGAUUCAUUGUAAACCCUCGUAGCCUCUGCCAUCAGACCCGCCUUAGAAAAAGCAGAUAGCAAGUGGUUGACAUGUGUGCACGAAGGGGGAAUCCCUUGCUUCUGCAUAGAAUUUAUUGUUUCCUCUGCUUCUGAGUAUUUGGCCGCCUCUGUAUAAGCUUGUACGAGGGAAAGGUAGGUGAAAGAGUUGGGCGAAAAACCAUCUCUCUGCAUGGCUUGGAUUAGUUUCUCAACUUCAUUAUAAAGUCCCGCAGCAGCAUAUACGUUGAUGAUAAUGUUGUAGCUAAUCUGCAGUUCCUCAAUGAAGAAGGGAGAGAACAUUAAUACAUCAUCCAGAAACAAUAAAUUUACCAGAUAGUACAAGUGUACAUGUUGAAAUUUAAAGAAUUUGGACAAUCCCAAAAAGAAGAUAUGCAGUUGAUAACCAUGUGGAGAUUAUUUCAGAACAUUUCACACUAUAAACAAAUGGACUCAUACCGAGUGUAACAAUUAUUUAUUUAUUGUUUUAGUUUAUAAAAUAGAAGCCUUACACAUAUUUUAUGAAUGAUAUUGGUGAUGUAGAUCCAAUACCCAAACUAUCAUGAAAGAGAUAUGGAUGGAGAAUAGAAUAAGAUAUCAUCCGUUUUUUAUAUUGUUAAGCAAUUAGGUUUCCUAACGUCGAAUCGGAGUAAUCCUGUCAAUGAACAUUUUAAAAAACAAUUAUUGUUUACCGAUUAUAUUAUAUUCAGAUUAUUUUAUUAUGGGAGCUAGAAUUUGGAAAAUUUUAAGGGCAUACCAGCCCUGGCUUUAUCCCUUCUUCUUGCAUUUCAGAGAAUAGAAGGGAUGCUUCGUGAGUUUUACCUGCAAAAUGAGUAAAAUAAUAAAGCUAAAGAACACUUAAACAAAAUAAUGAAUCCGAUACCCAACAAAUUUAACUACUAGAUAUUCAAAAUAUUAGAAAAGGAAUAAAUCAGUCAUGUAUUAAAAUACAACAAUCCAACUAUGUGACUGGCUUGUCUUUCAUGUAUCAAUUCAUCUAUAGGUGCUAAGAGUGAUCAGCCAUGAUGAUUGAUGCACAAAAUGAUGUUUCAUUGACAGUCUUCAUGAUGAUAUGAACUAAGUACAUCUUGAAAGAACCAUAAAUAUAAAUCGUGGAUAGUUGUAAUGACAUUUCUUUUGGUAAUAUUAAAAAAAAAAAUUGUCUAGAAUUGGAAGAACACCAUUCUUUGAAGAUGCUAAGACAAUAAAAGAAAAUUAAUCAGUAUGGAGAUGGAGAUAGCCUGUUACCAGCCUUCCCAUAAAAGCUGACAAGAUUCAUGUAUGCCUUCUCAUCGAGAGACAGACCCAAGCUACGAGCUGUGUUGAACAUCUCUAAAGCUUUAUCCAGUUUUCUACCUCUUCCAUAGACACUGAACCCAAAGUGAACCAACAGAAGCAGAAAAUUCAUAAGAAGGGUAUAUACACAUGUAAAUGUCCGAAAGAUGAAACAUUUCUUGAUUCAUAUUCUGGCAGCCCCAACAUGGAAUAUGUUUCCUCCCAUGCUCAUAAAACAUGCAGAAAAACUCACUAAUCAGUGAAUAGAAUAAUUGUCUGAUCCAUAAAAGUCAACAAACAUGCGCAAACAUAAACAGGCAGAGAGAGCAGGAGGGAGGGAAGGAGGGAAGGAGAGAGGGGUUAUAAAUCUAACUUUGAUAUAUAAAUAGAUAUAGAAGAAUCUGAGUAUACUAAACAAAAAAUAUAAAGAUUACUUAGGUGGACCAUGUCUCCAAAAAUAAAAUCAAAAGAGACAAAAAGGGGAAGCAAAAUAAUCAAUGCAAAGCCCCUCCAAUACCCACAAAGAAACCAUUAUUCUCCAAUCCAAAACAAUCCAUACAAAUUAUCCCAAUUAACACAAGCUCCCUCCCAAAUUAAAUGUAUUAACAUGAAAAAAGAUAACAGAAAAUUUUAAAGUCCUUUGCGACCAAAGCCCAAAUUGGUGCCCAAAGCCUAGCUCCAUCCCACAUACUCUCUAUGUUUCCUUCCUUUCUCUUUCACAAAUACAAUUGUUUCUUUCUGGCCAUAAAACCCAAAAAAGAGCCAAAAAGACACGAUACCUUAUCAUUGUAUUGUAUGUCUGAAUUGAUGUAGGAACUCUGAAAGACAGCAUGCGCUCAUAAAUGCUGGCUGCAAAAUGCAAUUUACCUGCGAAAUUAUACUUGCAGGUCAUUGCAAGAUUUCUUACACAUGCAUCCAUCUAAAUUAAAUACAGAUAAUGUCACUUUUACCUGCUCCUAGCAUUGCCUUAAUACAGGUAUUGUAAGCCACGGUAUCAAGGUCCAAGUUAUCUUGAAAAGAGUUAUGGAUAAUAAUCUCAGCCUGUUCAUGUUUUCCUGCGGAUAGAUUAAUCUCAUUAUUAAUCAACAAAGCAUUGAUAUAACAACCUGCAAUGGAAAAUUCACACGCUGCCCUCCAAACUUCUCUAUAGUAGAGAAUAGCAUGUGUAGCUAUGACAUGAUUGUGAUAAUUUCAAUCGCAAAUGACUGGAUACACUAUCACUACCUUAUGCACAUCAUGAACAUUAUUUUGUGAACAAGAAGUUGGUCAAAGUUCAGACAAGAAAAUUUUCCAAAGAGUACUGGUUUUUGGCAGAAAACAAGCUAUGUACCAGGUUAUCUCUAUCAGUAAACUAAUAUCUUUAUUUAAUUUUAUACAUAGGACAGUAAAACUUAUGAUUUUUAACCUAAAAAUUCAUUACAUGCAAUGGAAAAAGGACUAAAGUUUAGCUGCUCUGCUGAAGAUAUUUACAGCCAUACCAUAAUUAGUCAACGUAUUCACAAGUAUGCUGAUAGCAACAGCGUCCAGAGCACACCCCUGUGCAGUUGCUUCUUUAUAAAGUAGGUAAACAUCCUCAGCUUUACCACAUUUGGCAUAUGCAUCAAUCAUUGAUCUCAAUACUAAUUUCCCAGGUUUACAUGAAACUGUAGCAGCUUUGAAGACAUCUUGAGCCUCUUUUAGCUUCUGGUGCUUCCCAUAUGAGCCAAUCAAAGAAGCGGUUACUUCAUCUUCCAAUAUGUAACCAAGCUUCAUCACUAUAUCAUAAAUAAUUUCUGCAUUGGAUAUGUCACCUGUGUAAAAUAUCAAUGUCAGUCUUCAAGAUAUACCAACUUCUCAAUUUAUUGCUUCAACACCUAUCUUAUACAUACAUAAAAACAAAUAAAAAAAAACUAUACGCAACUAACUUCAUGGCAAAAUGACUUAUAAUCAAUAGCGAAACUUAAAAGUUAAUCUCAUACCAUCUCUAAUAAAUUUGCAAAUGAGUUGACUCACUACUGAUGAGCCACCAGCUGUAUGAAGCAAUAGCUUCAGGAUUUUUUCCCUCUUACUGAAAUUGUCAUCUGUGAGAUAUAGACUAAGCAUCAGCCCAAGAGCCAUCAAGUCAAGUUGGUUGGAUGCCACAAAUUUGUCACCAAAUUCCGCAUUUUCUGUACAUCCACCAUGCAAAAUCUUAGAAAAUGUUUGAAUGAAUUUGCUAUCUUUUAACGAUCCAUUUUUGCCCAUCUCUUCUACUAACUGUUCGGCAUCCGUCACCAUUCCUUCCUUACAGUAUAUUUUCAUAACUGACCUGUAAAGCUCCUCAUCAAAAUCAACUUGAUCUUUCCUUAUCUGGGCAAUAAAACCUUUUGCCUUUUCUGUUAAGUCAAGUUUUAUAUACAAAUUCAGCAUGUCAUUGCAAGAGCCAGCAUCAGGAAGUCCAGUCUUGGCCAGAGUUUGAAACGUGCCUUCAGCAGAGCCCAAAUCCUCUUUCAUAGCAUAACAUUGCAACAUGACAAUAUAAGCAAAUCUUGAUAACCACAUGUUUCUUGAUUUCAUUAAUUCAAUAACAUCCAAAGCUUUCUCAACAUUCCUCGAGGUAAGAUGGACUUGUGCCAUUGCCAAAUAUGUUUUUUCAUCACUGAGUAGGCCCAGCUGCUCAGUCUCCGCAAAUGUUUUCUGAGCAUCCUCAUACAGACCAAGUUUUCCAUAUAUCCGAAUAAGCAGACCAUAGAUUACUUCAUCAGCAGCAACUUUGAAUUUUUCCAUUUCAGAAAAGAGAGAAAGGGCUUUAGAAUAAUUUUCAUUUUUGUAAUACAAAGAUAGAAGCGAAGCACAAGUGUAGUUACUAGGAAUAAGCCCACGACUCCUCAUGUCCUUGUAUAAACUUAGUGCUUCAUCCGAUUUACCAUGUUUUAUACUCAAACUAAUAAGCUGGCUAUAAGUUACUUCCUCAGGAGCAAACCCAGUGCUUUUCAUCUCAUUAAAUGUCUUCAAAGCCUCCUCAAGGAGACUACCUUUAACAAAUGAACUGAUAACUAGUGUGUAAGUAAAAUCAGUAGGCGCAACCCCUUUAUCCAUCAUCUGCCUCCACAAAUCUAUUACCUUCCUAUGGUAUGAUUUCUUGUGCAAAGAGGAGAGCAUAAAGUUAAAUACUGCUGUAGAGGGUACAAUUCCUCUUUCUUUUACAGCAGAAUAAAACGUCAACAUAGCCUUAUGAUUUCCCCAUCUGGCAUAUGUACAAAGCAUGGUACCACAAGCAAUCUCAUCCGGUUCACAUCCUGCUUCAAGCAUCUCCAGGAAGGUCUGUUCAGCCAGCUUAAUCUUUCCAACUUGCCCAUAUAAUCGCAGAAGAAUCGUAUAAACAACAACGCAGGGGCGAUAGCUUAACUGUUCAAGAAAUUAGCUUCAGCUACUUAGAAAAAGUGAAAGCACUUAUCAAUACCAUAAUUUGCCCUAUCUUGACUUGCUAAUAAUUCAGCACAAAUAAGACUGAAUCAAUUCAUAACUGAAGGGAAGUUCUAAUGGUAGCUUCCUAAAUCAAUUCAAUUUCAUUUUUAGUAAACAGAAAUUAUAAAAAGGGCAAAAGCCCACCUGCAGUUUCAUCCAAGCAAAGAACUCAGUGGCCUGCCUCCAACCCUUUUGCUCUUUCAACACAACACACAUUUCUCUAAAACUCAACUUGCCCACAAAGCUCCCCAUCACAACUCUCACAUUCCGGCUGCCAUCCAUGGCUCUCACGGCCUUAAUCGCAGCCACAACAUGCUUCCCGUACAAAUGGCCGUUCCUAUCAUCCUCCAAGUACUUCACCAUCUGCUCCGGCGUCCGCUUUAUCCAUUUGGGGGUGGCUGCUGUCGGCCCCUGGUUUCUCCUCAGCACGCUCAAGUAUUGAGCCUUGGCUUUUAAAAUUCGACGAGCGUUGUCGUCGGAGAGAGGCCUUUUGCGGUUCUUUGAUCUGGGUUUGGGUUUAGUAAUGUCGUUUCCGUCGCUUAAGGACCAGGGGUCUGGGCGCACUCUUGAGGAUGACUUUAUGGGGAUUUUGGGUUUUUUUUUGGGCGGUUUUGGGUUCCAAUGCUGGAACUGGAAGUGGGUGGUGGUUACAAUGAAAGUGGAGCUGAGGGAGUCCAUUUGUUAGAGUUGAAGGAUACUAGAGGUUGUAGUUUUGAGGAACAUAGAGUUUUUGCGGGAAAAUUCUGAGACUUCAAAGAAAGUUUCAGAGGCAUCAAUUCGUAACAGUGUCAGACCUCAGUGAAGGGAGCAGAGCUGCAGAGGAGAGGUGAGAGAUAACCACCAUUACGUUUAUUUCCACAAAUUUGAUUUACACGCUUCUAGCGGGCCUUUCACAACGACACGCGGAGCCCACACUUUGGGCCUACUUUGUGCUGGGCUGGGUACGGCACAGCUUCCUCAUGACCCGCCAGCUCUGUGGGUCCAUGCCAGCCGAUGACCCAUCGGACAAAACCACGGGUUUGAUUUGAUACAUCCUGUGUGUAAUAUAACCACCUGAUGAUUGCCUGUAAGUGAAUUUUGCAUUAGCCAAAAAAAUAGUUGUAAUGAAAAAAUUUGGUUUGAUUUUUAAAAUUGAAAAAAUCGCUUGGUUUAUAUGAGAAAAGAUUAAAAAUAAAAAAAUUAGAAAAUACGAAGGAAAAUACAGUUUAAAACUGAAAAACUUGAAUCAAAUUAAAAAUCGAAGCAAUUCAAAUAAGAUUAUUAUUUCUAUAAAAACCGACAAUUUGGUUCGAACAGAAUUGUUGCCCCCUAAGUGAACUUAAUAUAAUUAUCAUUCGUUUGGAUGCUUUUUUAACAUGGAUAAGAUUCUAAAUAUGAUCUUAUCAUGAGUAAAAUUCACUCAACUGAUUGGUAGUUAAUAAAUUAAAAAAUAAAAGUAAUUAAAUACUAAUUAUACAUAAAUACUAAAUGACAUGUAGUAUAAGAUAUUUAAAAGUGUAGGAGAGUAAAAAUUAGAACCUAAUCUACACAGUAUAACAUCAUUUAGUUGUUUUAGGACUUACAUAUAUAAUAUCUUUGAUGUAUUUUAAAAGAUGAUGUAUUUUAAAAGCUCUCAAUUUGAAAAGGAUGGGCAUCUUUCGGUGACGACAAAUAUUAUUACAAAGGGAGAUUGUCAAUUUCCCCUCUACAGUAAUCAACAUAUACCAUUUUCCUCAUGCUGUUUUUAUAAUGGCCAAAAACCUCUAUGACAGCAUAAGUUUACAAUAUUAUCAUUAUUUUCAACUACUCUUUUAUUUUCAUUUAUUAUAAAUUAAAUAAACCACAUGAAUAGAAACUAAAUAAAAAAUUAAGCAUUAAAAACAAGAAAUCUAUGUUUUGAUAUGAGAAAAAAUUAAUAAUAAAAUUUUUUUCUUGUACUUAUUUAUUUUGUAAAAAUUUUCUUAUAAUAAAUAUAUAAGAAAGUUAUUAUAAUAUGAUAAAAAACUUAUUAUAAGAAAAUUUGAAUGACAAAUAAAAAUUUAUUAUAAGAUAAAUAAUAAAAUAUUUUGCCUAUACUUUUACAUUUAAUUUUAAAAUAUUACAAAAUGUUUAUUAUAAGAAAAUGUUCACACAAAAAAAUUAUUAUUAAUUUUUUUGCUCAUAUCAAAACAUAUAUUUCUUGUUUUUAAUACUUAAUUUUUUUAUUUAGUUUCUAUUCAUAUAAUUUAUUUAAUUUAAAAUAAAUGUAAAUAAAAGAGUAAUUAAAAAUAAGAGUAAUAUUGUAAACUUAUAUUGUCAAUGGAGUUUUUGGCUAUUAUAAAAAUAGUAGGGAGGUAAAUGGUAUAUGUUAAUUACUGUAGGGGGGAAAGUGGCAAUCCCCCUUAUUACAAACCAUCGCGGCUGUAAAUUUUAAAUGUUAGCCAUUAAAACUUGAGCACAAUGUUUAGACAAAAUAAUAAGAAAGAUAAGUUAACACUGAUGAUAGUUUACUCACUUAAUUAAAAAAAAAAAAAAGGAAGAAAAAGAAAGUAAAUUAAUUCUAAAUUUGCCCAAGUGGUUAGAGCUACUCCCUCACAAAUGUGAGGGAAGUGGUUCGAGCCCCCGAAGACCCAUUGUAGGGGUUUAAUUUAAAAUUUCAUUCCUUAGAGUCCCAGAGCUUGAAUGAAUGCAGUCUUUCUCCCAGGAGGGGAGUGGGCGUACCUCGAAUAUUUGAGAGGGUUAAAGAGUGGGCGUACGUCGAAUAUUUGAAAGGGUUAAAAAAUUUGAGCGGUGCCAUAUCAGAAUUGAUAUAAAUUAAUCUCAGUAAUUUAUAUAGUUGUAAAUAUCAUGAGUAAUAGUUCUCCUUAAAAAAAAAAUUAAUUCUAAAUUUAUCCUGUUAUUAUCCGCAUUCUAUCACACAAUAUGUCUCUUUUAACAUUUUUCUUAAAUCUCAUCCCCAUUACGGAUGAUACUUCACCAGAUUCACAAUCUCAAACCUUAACUAUAUAUACUAUCUCAUUCUUAUUGCGUCAUUUGAAAAAGUUGAGAAGAAGAAAAUUGUAGAUUAAAUAAGCCUCGAAAUUUGGUACACUUUUGGUGGCAGGAGCCCAGAAAAUAAACCGUCGCUAUAUCACACUAAUAUUGAAGGAAAUAUAUAUAAAACAUUAAAAACCUAAACAACUACCCCUUCCAAAAAAUGCAGGACGAAUGAACUUAUAAGUCGGUGAAGCAGCAAGAAUGCGUGCAGCCCAAUAAGCUAACAUUAAUUUCAAAAGUACAAAAGCCAGUCACAAUUGUCCACAAUGAAAGCAAUAAUAAUGGCAAACAAAAUGACAUUUUUGAUAAUUAUUGUCAUGGCACUCGUCUCGUCAGCCAUGCCCGUAGCCAUCCUCAGGAGCCAAGACCUUGUUGUGGCCGUGGAAGAGAUGCAAAACGCCAACUACUUCAGUUUUGCCAUGCUCAUUAACAUGUCUCCAAAUACCACAACAAAUCUUGGGAACGUCACAUUCUUGAUGCCCAAGGACAAAAUAUUGUCGACAGCGGACAUGCUUCAAGAAUCCACCAACGAUUUCUUGCUUCGACAUUCGAUCCCGUCAGCCUUGCUUUUCGAGAAUCUCGAGCGUAUUCCUUCCGGCUCAUUGAUUCCAAGUUCUUUGCCGGAUUACAUGCUCAGGAUUUCUAACGGUGGAAGGAAGAGGUUUUUUCUUAACAAUGUGAGAAUUACUAGUCCAAAUUUAUGCACUGCAGGCUCUUCAAUCCGAUGCCAUGGCAUAGACGGAGUGCUAAAUAAUAAUAGCAGCUCAUCAUCAUCUCAACGUUCUUGCUCAUCAAACAGCUCCUCCGGCCCUGUUGUCGUGGCCUUACCCCCGACAGCAUCACCGGCGCAAUCCACGGUUCCCUCUUUUGCGGAUCAGGCUCCGCUGAUUGCGCCGCAACCAUCAUAUUCAGGCACGCCAAAGCAGAAGUCAGCUGCUGGCUAUUCACAGAGGCUGUCUUGUGGGGGAAUAAUAUCCAACUUCUUUUUGGUCUUUGCUAUGGUUUUGAUAUUUUGAUUGGAAACAAUAUUUAUUCUGAAAUGUCUGUAGAAAUAGUCAAUUUAGUAUUCGAUCGUUACUUUAGUAUUCUGCAAGAUGCCCAUUUUAUUGUAGUCCUGGAGCUCCAAAAUCACGUCACGGUUCUCUAAUAUUUUUAGAAUAGUUCCAAAAUCACGUCACGGUUCCCAAAUAUUUUCAGAACACUGAUUCAGUGUUCAUCUGAUUUUUAUGUUGAGUGCUUAGAAGCACGUGAUUAGUAGCUAAAUAUUAGUAAAAAGAUUUAUCACCCGUAGGAUAUUAUUCUCUUUCAAAUAUGGUAAUAGUUGUAGUCAAUGGAUGACUGGAUGGUAGCUUUUCCAAACUUUCAAUUGGUUUUGCUUAUUUUCAACUGUCUAGGAUAGGUAUCUGUCACAUGGAAAAUGCUUAUUGUCACGAAGGCUGAGAGAAACGACAUCUGUUGCUUGCCGUUUUGCCUUUUUCUUCUCUCAAGCUUCUGACAAUUUUUGAAUGUUAAAAAAAUUUAUAAAAAAAAAAGUGAAAGUGACAAAAGCUGUGGGGAUCCCGUGAAGUUUGGGCUGUCUCUUGGCAGAGAGAGAAUUUUAUAUUGAUGAAAAUAUUAAAAAACAUAUAGAAAAUGACAAACUUACUCAUCCUUCAUGAAGCAGUUGAAAACAGCGUGCAUCACAGUCUUCUUUACUCAUCCUCACUUUCUCUCCUUUACUUACUCAUCCUCACCCACGAGUGCUACUAGUUACUCACUUUCUUGCGGCUACCACAACCAACAUCACACUUGACCCAAAUACGGAAGCACAUUUUGCUUAAUACUCGUGGAAGUAAUUCUACACAAAUUCCCCAAGAGGCCGAUCUAGAUUUGGAAGCAGAACCCAAAACUGAUAAUUACUUGAUUAUAAAGAGUGAUUUUUUAUUUUAAAUAUUAUUUUUUUCAUCAGUAAUAAUAGAAAUGUACCUGCAUUUUACUUAAUAUUUUUAGAAACAAUUUACUAGUUAAAUGAUAAUAAUAAAUAAUAAUGAAAAUUUUAUUUGAUUUAGAAAUUUUCAAAAUUUUAAUUUUUAGAAACUUAAUGGAUUAAUUUUUUGCUGGACCAAAAUUUUGUAACUAUUUAUAAUAAUUUAUUCUUAAUACAAAAAUUAAUUAUUUUAUAGAAAUGAAAAUUUUGGAAAAUGAGGCCAGAGUCGAAGAUGUGAGUGUGCAACUGGAAAAAUAUGAGCCAACACUUAGGAUAUUAUUUAAUAGUCAUGAGGAAAUGUGAGUGUUUUACAAAGCCUAUGAUAAACAAGAAGAAUUUUUUGUGAAGAAGCUAACUAGUAAGAAAGGGAGUGAUGGGAAUGUAAAAUACCCAACAUUAGCAUAUAACCGUAACAGCAAGUCAGAAAGUAAAUCUACUAAUAUGUUGAAACCUAUUGUGAAAACUAUGAUACUAAAAUUGGGGAUUGUGUAAAUGAAAAUGGAAAAUGGGUUUUUCAAAGUUUAAAAUUUCAACACAAUCAUGGAUUGAGUCCGGACAAAACUAAGUAUUUUCCUUGUAACCGUAGCAUUAGUGCAAGUGCAGAAAAGCACAUUGAAAUGAAUGAUUGUGUGGGAAUUAACAUUACCCAGAAUUUUAAUUUUAUUGUUGUUGAAGCUAGUGGAUAUGCAAAUGUCUCAUUUCUAGAAAAAGAUUAUAGAAAUCUUAUUGACAAAGUUAGGCGAUUGUAGCUCGGAGAAGGAGAUGCUAUGGAAAUUCUAAAGUACUUCCAGAAAAAGGAAGCAGAAUGCAAGGGAUUUUUUUAGCAUUGAUUUGAAUGAGUAUGAUUGAUUAAAGAAUGUAUUUUGGACAGAUCCGAGAAGUAGGGUAGCUUACAAAUAUUUUAAAGAUGUUAUCACAUUUGAUACCAUAUAUCUUACUAAUAAGUAUGACAUGCCAUUUGCUUAUUUUGUUGGAGUUAAUCAUUAUGGCCAGUCUAUUUUGUUAUGAUAUAGAUUGAUUUGACACAAGCAUAUGAAGACAUUUACGUGGUUAUUUGAGGUGUUUGGUUCUCCUCGCAUUGAUAUCAUUACAAACCAAGACAAAGCAAUGUAAAAGGCAAUUGAGAAUGUUUUUCUUAUGACUAGGCAUCAAUGGUGUUUGUGGCAUAUAAUGAAGAAGAUUCUUGAGAAGUUAGGGGCUUUUAAAGAAUGUGAAUGUAUUGUUUCUUUAUUGCUUUAUGCUAUUUAUGAUUCAUUGAACCUUGUUGUGUUUGAAGAAGCUUGGCAUGACAUGAUUACGAUAUAUGAUUUAUGGGAUAAUGAUUGGUUAAAUGAUUUUUAUGAGGAGCGGCAUCGUUGGGUUCCAUACUAUUUGAAAAUUAUUUUUUGACAGGAAUGUCAACAACUUAGGGAAGUGAAAGUAUAAAUGCAUUUUUUUGAUGGGUUUGUUAACUCAAAAAUAAAUUUGAAGCAAUUUGUGAAGUAAUAUGAAAAUGCAUUGAGAAGGAAAUCUAAAUUAGAAUGACAAGAAUAUGCCAAGUGUUUCAGUAAAAGGACUUCAUGUGUAACAAGAUAUGAGAUGGAGAAGUAAGUUGAAUAAGUGUAUACUAUUUUUAAGUUUAAAGAAUUCUAACAAGAAUUAAUUAUACUGAUGUAUUGUGAAAUAGUUAAUUCUAGAGGAGUGUUAGGGAGCAACUUGGUGGAGAAGUGAUGGGGAGCAAAGAUAAUCUGAAGUGAGGGAGAGAGAGUUAGCGACGAUAUGGAGGCAUAGAGAGAGAGAGAGAGAGAGAGAGAGAGAGAGAGAGAGAGAGAGAGAGAGAGAGUGAUGCCACUAUUUCUUAUAUAUUUUACGUUUUAACAUUUUUUUUGUCACUUUCCACUUUUUUAUUUAUAUUGUAACAUUAAAAAUUAUUUGGCACGUUGAGAGAAGGAGAGAAGCAAAAACGGCGGGCAUCGCUACCAUUUUUCUUAACGUUCUCCCGGUGUUAUCACUAUUUAGCACGAGUCUCGUCACAUUUUAAAACAGACUGAAGUCAUAACAGGAGGUGUGUUGAGUUUUAAGAGUCUCAUCAUAUGGCAUGCAUUUGGGCUCUAAUUAAUUUGGUCGCUCAUAUGUAAUUAGCACAUCAAAUUCAUUAACCAAAUUAGAGUAAGGCAGUUAAAGAUUAUUUGCCGAACUUCAAAUUCUGAGAGUCUAGAACUAUUGAUGUAUAAUCUCCCUCUAUUUUCCAUUCAAAAUCUCAUUAUACCUAAACAGAUAAUCAACUAACUAAUACGUUCGACCUGUUCAUCAGAAAGGUAGUGGAGGUGCAUAGCUACCUCCUCUCAUUAUCAGACACGCGGCACUUGGCCAGUUAUUGGCCAGCCAUUGUAAAAAUUAACCCGUAUAAGUAGGAUCUCUCCAUCAACAUCCGCUCUACACGAUAAAUAUAGUCCUUUAGUUUCCUCGCUUUGCAUAUUAAUUCACAUUCCUGAUCUAUUAUUAUUAUUAUAGAUAUCUUCAUUAACCAUAAUAAUAAUAAUCAAGAAAAAUUUAAAUCAUGGGUGACGAACCCGAAACCGAACCUCCAAUACCUCCGGUUCAAACAGCAGCAGAAGGCAACCGUCCAGUCCCGAAACUGAACGAAAGAAUCCUGUCAACGCUCUCAAGAAGAUCAGUGGCCGCACAUCCGUGGCACGAUCUCGAAAUAGGCCCCGGAGCCCCGCAAGUGGUCAACAUCGUCGUGGAGAUAACGAAAGGCAGCAAAGUGAAAUACGAACUGGACAAGAAAACAGGACUCAUCAAAGUCGACAGAGUCCUUUACUCAUCGGUCGUGUACCCACACAACUACGGCUUCAUCCCCCGGACACUCUGCGAAGACAACGAUCCCCUCGACGUGAUGAUCCUGAUGCAAGAGCCGGUCAUUCCGGGGAGUUAUCUGCGAGCCCGGGCCAUCGGAUUGAUGCCCAUGAUCGAUCAAGGGGAGAAGGACGACAAGAUCAUAGCCGUCUGUGCUGACGACCCUGAGUAUAAGCAUUACACAGACAUCAAACAGUUGCCGCCUCACCGGCUGAUGGAGAUACGGCGUUUCUUUGAGGAUUAUAAGAAGAAUGAGAACAAAGAGGUUGCUGUUAACGAGUUCCUGCCUCCUCAGACUGCUUUUGAUGCCAUUCAGUACUCCAUGGACCUUUAUGCCGAGUACAUUCUGCAAUCCCUCAGGCGAUAGAGAUUUUUUCUUUUUUUCCCCUAUUUUGCAUAUUAUUAAUCAAUUAAUUCAUCAACAACCACACGCUGUUUAUUUAUUUUCAAUAUUUCUUCUAAUUGUCUCUCGAUGGAAAAGUCCCUGUCCAUCAGUUGGAAUAAUAAGUCAUUUGAUUAAUUAAAAUAUGGUAUUUGAUUAUUAUUAUGAGCUAUAUAUAUAUGGCAUUUUGAACAGCAGAUAUGUAUUCAAAACCUUGAUUGUUAUUCAUCAACUAUAUUUUUCUAAAGUUUAAAUCAUGAGAUUAAUUAAAAAGUGUAGUGGGAUGGAUCAAAAUUUUCGUUUACAUGUCAUCGCCAUAUUGAUAUGUUAUAUAUAUAUACACAUAUAUAUAUAGGUAAUAAAAAAAGAUCUCCAAAUUAAUGAUGGUUAGCCAUAACUACUUUUAUUAUGAUGUAAGAAGAUUUUUAAACUCUCGCGUCAAGGAUUAAUGUGCAUAUUGUUAUUGUAAAAGAUUAGUUAGUGCUGUAGGCAUUAUAUGCAUAUGUAAUUACUUAUGAAAUAAAAUUCUAUAUACAUUUUCAUUCAGAAAAUAUUAUUGUUCAGCUAAUUGAAAAAAUAGGCCUACUUUUUGUAUCAAAAAAAAAAAAAAAUAGGCCUACUUUUGAUAUUGUUCAUUUUGAUUUUCAGAUCUCAAAAAGUUUUGAAUUGAACAGCACAGUGGAUUGGCUUGCAGCAGCUUAUGAGACGAUAGGUUUACAACUUCAGCUCUAUUUAUGAGGCAUUAAAUAAUUUAUGAGGCGCACCAUGUGGGUAAUUAUUGUUAAUCAAAAUGAAUAAGAUUGUUCGUGGUGUUUUUUUCUUUUUUGUGUACAUAUAUACACAGUGGAGAGAGAAAGAAAAAAGCGCAGAUUAUUUUCAUAUAGACCACCAGCAUUCAUUCACAAGCGUGAAUCAUUAUUCAUAUAGACAUCAGGCAUUCUUUCACAUAACAAGAAAGAGAGAAACCUUAUUAAUGGAUAUGACGUAACAUGUAUCUACUCAUGAUACUUAGCCUGAAGAAAAAGAAAAUUCUUCUUGUGCAUGGCAAUUCCGGGCAGACAAUCAAAGUCCAAAUCUUGGCUCUUCAUUCCAGGCGGUGUUUCCCAAACAAAUUCGUAAAGAAGAUUAGCAAUUGCAAGAUCCGCAUUUGCAGUUCCCAAAUGCAUUCCAGGAUACAAAUUCUUCUGCCAGCACGAAAUGGUAUGAACUCUAAGUUUUGCUCUUUAUAGUCAAUAGAACAAUCAAUAAAUCUCUCGGGAUUAAAUUCCUCAGGAUUCUCCCAAGCUUCAGGAUCUCUUCUUAUCGCCCAUGCCUUUACGUAAACAAGUGUUUUAGCUCGAAUUUCAUACCCGUCUAUUAAGCACUUUUCCAUUAUUUCUUUGGGUACUAGUAAGGGAAUUGGCGAUUGCAAUCUCAAAGUCCCCUUUAGUACAGCUUUAAGAUAUUUUACUUCUUGAAGAUCAACUUCAUCUACAAAGCCUUUGCAGCCAAUCAAAGAUCUAAUUUCUUCUUGAACUUUUUUCAUUGCUCUAGGAUGCUUCAUGAGGUAGGUCAUGGCCCAAACCACAGUCGAGCCGUUUGCAAAGCAAAUAGCACAUAUAUGGGUGUGUCUGUGGGAUAUGUGUGUGCGUGUGUAUUAUUUAAAGCAACAAAAUUAUAUUAAAUCAAUUAUAUACAAAACUACUUAUAUAUGUGAUCCAAAGUUAGGUCAACUUUGAACCCAUGAUCUUUUUGUACUUGAAGUAAAACAUCAACUAUAUCCUCUUGCUGCAGCUCUGCUUUUGUUAUGUUUGGAUCCUUAUGCUCGUCAUUGAGUUCUUGAUAGAAUGUAUCAGCUUUUUGAAAGUAAAUUUCGAGUCGACGCAUCAUUCCUCUGAGUUUAUCAAUCCAGCCCAUAAAAGGAAAAUAAUCUGUAACAAAAAAGCCUACAGGCGAGGCUUGAAUUUCAGUAAAAAAUGUAAGGAAUCUACUUCUUCCACUUAUUGCUUCAUAUUCGUUACCAUGCCUCUUGCCAAAACCAAUUCUACAAAUAAUGUUGCUUGCAAGAGACAUCAUUAUCCCACUUAAGUUGACUUGUUUAGAAGCAGCUGAUUUUGAUAUGUAUUCAAUCAUUCUCGAAACUUCAUCUUCUCUAAUGGGUCGAAAACUUUGUGCUCUACUAGGGUUAAAGAGGUGACUGACACAUAAUUUUCUUAUCUCUAUCCAGUACUCACCAUAGGGUGAAAAUACCAAGUCCAAGCCAUUAGAAGAUAGCUUUUAUGAUGCUAGACUUGCUAGCCGACUACAGAAUUGAAUAUCAUGGGUUUUCAAACUCUCUUUAGCCAUUUCUGCUGAGGAAACAACUAUAAUUGGCACAACACCAAGAUGCAAUGAAAUAAAAGGGCCAUAUAUUUUAGAUAGUUCCCAUAAUAACACUUGAGGCUUUGAGAAAUCAAACUGGUGUACGUUACCGAUAAAGGGUAGGCCCUGAGGGCGAGGGGGUAUUUUAAUCUCUUUUUUUUUUUUAUGAUAAGUGUUUACGGAAAACAAGAAGAGGAAGAUUGGGAGACACAGAAUGAUGAUGAUCACAAGUAAAGCCAUUAUCGUUUAUGCUCCCUACUGAAGUGACUAAAGCUCUAUAAAUAACGAAACAAAAUGCAAGUUAAUAAAUAUUAUCAGAGGGCUCUCUUUUUGUUUUGUAUUCUUGUUAUUGAGUCUAUCUCAUUUGGGGCCCAAAAACAUAAGGUCCAAAAAUAUUUGUUUGAUGUAUGAUUAACAUUAAGUUUUAGACUUGCAUGAAAAUUGUCAUAAAAUUUGGCUUUAAAAAGCAAGCAGCUUACCUAAUUUGUGAUAUCGCAAAAAGAUGAGUGAAGAAAAGACGAGAGAGAGAACAGUGGCGUGAGAUCAGAUUUGGGAGCUAGGAUUUCAAUAUUUGAUUAGAUGAUCGGAAGGCGAAAUUAAUUCUGUUUUUUUCUAAAUUUUGAGGGUAAAUUUAUGGUAUCGCCCUCUACAAUCCUAUUGUUCUUUAUUUUUAUUUUAUCCUCUCAUUGGCUAUUAUUUGAAAUACUCAAUUGUUAAAGAGAUAAAUAUUAGGUUAUUACUGUAAGCAAGAAUAUUGAGAAUCUUGAUGUUGUUAGUCUCUAGUGUCAUCUAGAGAAGAAUUUGUACUGUAAUCCCAUUAAAAUAGUGAAAGAUUUUAUCAGACUACAAUCCAUCGGUUUUUCCCGCUUUAGGAUUUUCACGUAAAAAAUAUGUCUCUUGUGGUUGGUUUAUUUUUCUACCUAUUUAUUUAUGGUACACAACCUAUUUUAAUCACACAGAAAGGAAAAAAGUUUUGUUUCCGCUUAAUUUUUAACUGUUUGUGUGAGUUCCUUUCCCAAUAUAGUGGUAUCAGAGUGUCAGGUUGUGUUUUUUUAUUACUUAUAUGGUUGAGAUGGAGGAGUCCUCUGCAUGCAUGAUUAAAUUAAAGUCAUAGAAUUAUGGUAUUUGGAAAUCUAGGAUGAAAGAUUUUAUGUACAUGAAAAACUUACAUGAACCCAUUGAAGGCGAAUAAGCUAGACCCGCCGAUUUAGAUAAGAAAUUGGAGCAAUUAAAUAAGAAGGUUGUGGGUACUAUUAGGUCAUCAAUUAAUCAAAGUGUGUACCACCACGUUGCGAAGGAAUCUAGGGCUGAUGUUCUUUGGAGAAAAUUAGAGACGAUUUAUGAGUAGCCGACAACACAGAAUAAAGCUAAUCUGAUGAAAAAGUUUGUUAACUUGAAAUACAAGGAGGGGCACAGUAUAACUGACCGCACUAGUGAGUUUCAGGGCUUAGUUGAUCAAUUGACUACUAUGAAAAUUAUUUUAGAUGAUGAGUUACAAGCAUUGUUGUUGCUUAGUUCUUUAUUUGACAGUUAGGAGAUAUUAGUGUCAGUGAAUAAUUCAGCUCUGAAUAGAAAAUUAACCUUAGAUAUGGUUAUAGAUAGGCUGCGAAAUGAAGAGAAACAUGAAAUGCUUUCAUUGUCAGAAAAUGGGUCACGUUAAAAAGGGAGUGUAUAUUGUGGAAAAGAGAACAGAUGAAAGAAAAAGAUGAUAGCUUAGAAAAAUGACAAAGAGAACAUUAAAGUCAUAGUUGAUGGUGAUAUGGGUAUUGUUUAUGAUGAGAGCUCUGUAAAUCUCAUUUGUCAUACCAGUGAUAGAAGUCAAGAUCAAGAAAAAAUAUGUGAAUGUGACUGUAAAAGAUUUUGAAAUUGAGACGUGCAUAAAAAACUUGGUUACAAUGGUGAGAAAUGAUUAGAAACUCUUGCUAGAAAAUGAUUUCUACCCAACUUCGCAGGUAUGUUCCUUAAGACUUGUGUUCAUUGCUUAGUUGGAAAGACACACAAAGUAGCUUUUAAAAGUUUUUCUCUAUCUAGAAAGUCGCAAAUAUUUGAUUUGUUUCACAUUGAUAUUUGCAUGAUGCAAAGUAGAUCAAUAAGAGGUGCACUUUAUUUUAUGACUUUUAUUGAUGACUGUUCUAGAAAAAUGUGGGUUUUUUCUUUGAAAUCUAAAAACCAUGUGCUUGAUAUGUUUAAGUUCUUCCAUGCUUAUGUUGAGAGAGUGACAUGAAGAAAAUUAAAAUGUGUCAGGGUAGAUAAUGAAUGUGAAUAUAGAGGACUAUUUGAAUAGUAUUGGAUAUCCCAUGGAAUCAGGCUUGAGAAGACUGUACCAAAAACCCUGUAGCAGAAUGGUGUUGCAGAAAGGAUGAACAAAACAAUUGAAGAGAGGGUCUGGUGUAUGCUUUUCGAUGCUAAGCUUCCUAAAUCUUUCUGAGCAGAGGCUAUGCGUACUGCAAUUGACUUGAUUAACCUUUCUCCUUCAGCUCCAUUAGAUGGCGAUGAACCAAAGAGAGUUUGGACCGAGAAAGACGUUUCUUAUAAACACAUGAGAAUGUUUGGUUGCAAAGCAUAUACUUACAUACCUAAAUAUAAAAUAUCGAAACUUGAUGAUAAAGCCAAGGAAUGCAUUUUCUUAGGUUAUGGGUAUGAAGAAUUUGGGCAUGAAGAAUUUGGGCAUAAAUUAUAGGAUCCAGUGGCAAGGAAAUUGAUCAGAAGUAGAGAUGUUGUGUUCCUUGAAAAUCAAAUAGUUAGUGAUGCAGAGAAGAGUGAUGAGUCUCAGCCAUCUCCAGAGAUUCCUAUUAUCCCAACUUCAGUUUCUCCACCUGCAAUUCAUAAUGAUUAUGGGAAAGCUGGAGAGGAUAAUAAUGAUGGUCUGGAAAAACCAGUUGAGUAAGCACCUCCAAAACCACUUGUACUACCAGUUGAACCAUAAUUAAGGAGAUUAACCAGAAAACAAUAACCUUCCACUAGGUAUCCUUCACAUGAGUAUGUGAUACUUACAGAUGGAGGGGAGCCAGAAUGUUUUAAAGAAGCCAUGUCUUACCAGCAUAAAAAUGAGUUGGUUAAAGCCAUACAAGAGAAUAUAAAAUCCUUGAAUGAAAACCAUACUUAUGACUUAGUAAAGCUUCCUAAGGGAAAUAGGGCACUGAAAAAUAAAUGGGUUUACAAAUUAAAGACUUAAAAUAACUCACAACAGCGAUACAAGACUAGAUUGGUUGUGAAAGGUUUCGGUCAGAAGAAAGAUAUUGAUUUUGAAGAAAUAUUUUUUCCCAUGGUGAAGAUGUCUUCUAUCCAAGAUGUUUUGGGAUUAGCAACUAGCUUGAAUUUGGAGAUUAAACAGCUUGAUAUAAAGAUAGCUUUCAUACACAGUGACUUAAAAGAUGAAAUAUACAUGGAGCAACCUGAAGGGUUCAGUAUUAGAGGCAAAAAAAAAACUUGUGUGCAAGUUGAAGAAAAGUUUGUAUGGGCUGAAACAAGCACCAAUAUAGUGGUACAAGAAGUUUUAUUCUUUUAUGGAGAAUCAUGACUUCUACAAGACUAUAUGUGAUCAUUGCGUUUUUGUGAAGAAGUUUGGUGAUAAUGAUUUUAUCAUUCUUCUGCUUUAUGUGGAUGACAUGUUGAUUGUUAGUCAGAAUGCUAAUAAGAUUGACAAUUUAAAGAAAGAGCUUAGCAAAUCUUUUGCAAUGAAGGACUUAGGACCGGUGAAAUAAAUUCUUGGCAUGAAAAUUUUCCGUGAUAGAAAAUUUAGGAAUUUAUAGUUAUCUCAAGUAAGGUGGGCAAAAAAGCUCAGCUCUCACACAUGAGAGCCUGGACAAGGGGUCAAGAAAAAAUGCCUAGGCCAGACCUAGGCCCACUAUUUUAAAAAAAAUUAUAAAUUAGAAUAAUAUAAUUAAAAUUGAAAAGUAACUUUUAAAAAAAAACUUAAAUUCUUAAUUUGUAAAUCAAUAAUGAUUCAAAAAAGCUAAAAUUAUGAUACUAAAUUCUCUCUUUUAUGUUAAUUAAUUAAGAGAGUAUUUAAAUUAGAGAAUCCAGUAUUAAAGAAAAUUAAAUUUAUAAGCUUUUAUUUGCUUUAUUUAUUAUUUUAUUUUGAAAUAUUCAUUUUAUUUAAUUUAUCUAUGAUUAUAAUAACUUGUUGAUCAUUAAUUUAUAUCAAAUUUACAAUAAUUUAAAAAAAAUUAAAAAUAUAUAAAGCUCGAGCCCGGCCCAAGCCCUCAUGCUCAAGCCUAGGCCCAAGCCCGCUUUUUGCCAUCCGUAUUCUCAAGAAGCAUAUGUUGAAAGAAUUCUUGAAAGAUUUAACAUAAGUAAGACAAAAUCUGUUUGUUCUCCACUUGCGGGCCAUUUCAAGGUUAGUUCCGAGCAUUAUCCUACAAGUGAGAAAGAGAAGCAAGAGAUGAGAUGAGUUCCUUAUGCUUGAGUUGUUGGUAGUUUGAUGUACACUAUGGUUUGGACAAGACCAGAUAUUGCUCAUCCAGUAAGUGUAGUCAGUCGGUUUCUCUCCAAUCCAAGCAAAGAACACUAGAUAGUAGUGAAAUGGAUUAUCAAAUAUCUCAGAGGCAAUUCCAAGGCAUGUUUAUGUUUUGAUGGUGACAAACAUGUAUUAUAAGUGUACACGGAUGCAGAUAUGGCAAGAGAUUUUGAUUUUAGAAAAUUCCUAUCAGGAUAUUUGCUCACCUUUGCAGGAGGAGUAGUCUCAUGGCAGUCUAAACUUCAGCAAUGUGUUGCUCUGUCUACCACAUAAGCAAGUAUAUUGCAAUCACUGAAAGAAACCUUGUGGAUGAAGAAUUUCCUACAAGAGUUUAGUGUAAAACAAGACAGCUUUGUUGUAUAUUACGACAGUCAGAAUGUCAUUCACUUGGCAAAGAAUUCGACAUACUAUUCGAAAUCCAAGUAUAUUGAUGUGAGAUAUCAUUGAAUACGAAACGUAUUUGAGAAGAAACAGUUGCAACUUGAGAAGAUACACACAACAGAGAAUGGGUUAAAUAUGAUGACAAAGCCAUUGCCCCAUGAGAAGCUGAAAAGCUAUAUGCAGAAAGCAGGCUCGGCGGUGCCCCUCAAAUGAUCUAGGGGGGGAAAUUGGUUGAGUCCAUCUCAUUUGGAGGCCUAAAAGCCCAAAGUCCAAAAAGGCUUACUUGAUGUACAAUUAACAUUAAGAUUUGGACUUGGAUGAAAAUUGCCAUGAAAUUUGGCUUUAAAAGGCAAGCGGCUGACCUAAUUUGUGAUAUCACAAAAAGACAAGUGAAUAAAAGACAAAAGAGAGAAAAAUGGCGUGAGAUUAGAUUUGGGGGCUAGGAUUUCAAUUUUUAAUUGGACGAUUAGAAUGUAAAAUUAACUCUGUUUUUUUUUAAAUUUUGAGGAUAAAUUUCUGGCAUCGCCUUCUACAAUCCUACUGGUCUUGAUUUUUAUUUUAUCCUCUCGUUGGAUAUUAUUUGAGAUACCCACUCGUUAGAGAGAUCUAUAUUAGGCUAUUAUUGUAAGGCAAUAACAUUGAGAUUCUUGAUGUUGUUAGCCUCUAGUGCCAUCUACAAAACAAUUUAUGUUGUAAUCCCAUUAAAAUAGUGAAAGAUUUUAUCGGACUACGAUCUCGUGGUUUUCCUGCUUUGGGAUUUCCACGUAAAAAAUAUGUGUCUCUUGUAGUUGAUUUUUCUUUGGAUUUUGUUAGUUUAUUUUUCUGUCUAUUUAUUUGUGAUUCACCUCCUAUUUUAAUCACACAAAGAGAGAAAGAGUUUUGUUUCCGCUUAAUUUUCAACUACUUGUGUGAGUCCCUCUCCCAACACUUGUGAGUUUUGCUAAACAAAACAAAUUUGACAACUUGGAUAAAAAUAAAAAAAAAAACUCAACAGUGAUCAAAAUUUCAAUAAUAAAAUUUCUUUUUCAGCAUAUUAUAUAUACAAAUUCUUGUGAGUUUUACAAAAAAAAAAAAAGAUUUGAUAACUGUUGAUGCCAAAAAACAACCUCAACAGCUGAGUUUGUUUUGGUGUGGAAAACAUAAUAAAAUAAACCUAUAUUGCAAGUUGAACACGAAUUUCUCAACCUACCAUUCAUAUAAUAUGGUUAGGGUUCACCGAUGGGGUUCCAACAAGAAUCCUCUAAUACUAAUGUCAUAUCUUUAGUAUAAAGGGAUCUUUCAUUGAUAAAGAAAUCACACUCAAAAUGUAAUGCAUAAUACUAUCUAAUUAUCAUAGGAAAGUUUAAGCAUAAGUUUACUUUCUUUGUCUUGUUUUUUCACCUUAUAUUACCCUCUUCUCUUGAUGUCCAUUCUCUGUUUAAAUAUCCCUCAAGAGGCAGGCAUCUUUAUUCCCUUAAAACUCACAUAUCUUUCUAACAUGGGUAGUUGGUUCACAUGAAGUAACCAAACCUAGCAUAAGUCCCUUGUUGAUCGAGAAAGUGUGAUAGGACUUGGAAGCUUAAAAAUGAUAAAAAGAAGAGAAGAAUAACCAACCUAGCACUCAUCCUAGUUUUCAAUAUUGAGAAAAUAUUAUUGGUAUUGGAAACUUAAAAAAAGAAAAAAAAUCAAAUAUUUACAUGUCAAACUCAAUUUGUAAAGUCAAAUAUGUAGAUGUCGGUCUCAAUCGUAUUGUUACCAAAAUUAUUCGAACUCUAAUUUAUUCGAAGAAUCGAUUAAUGACAAUUUAGUCUAAAACCUAAAAUAAAAUAAAACAAGUAAAAAUUAAACAAAGGUGCAAGCAUUAAUAGAAAUCACCAAGAGGUUAAAAUAUAAGGACAUCAAACUUCAACAUAACCAGUUCAAUUUAAUUGUUCAUCUAUGCCAUUAAAAAUUAUUACCCACAUUAACAGAGAAUUUUCCUAACCUAUUCAAUAUCAUCUCUCAAGUAAUAUAAAAAAAAAUACCCUCACAUAUUAACCCACUAUAUCUCUAUAUGGAUUAAGUAUGCUAAGGUUCUUUAAGUUCUAUGGAAAUUCUAAUAAAACUGCACAAAUCAGGUUAAUACAUAUUUGUCUCCCACAUAAUCCAUGGCAUCCAUUACACAGAGUAAAAACACAUAAAUCACAACUGUUAUAUCUCAAUGCCAGUUUGGUAAUGAUAUAGCUUUUAAAAUAAUUAUUAUUACUUGUGCUAUAAAAAUAAUCAAUUGUGAAGGGAAUCAGUGAAACAUUUAGUAAAAUUUAUUUAUAAAAGUGCUUUAAGUUUUAAAAGCAGUUAUAUGUAUUUUAUAAACCUUAUUGUUAAACUAUUGCAAAAAUAUGAAAUUACAAAUGACUGAAAUGGACACAAUGUUAAAUAAUUAUUUAUACAUUUAUAAACAUGUAUAUAUAAUUUUUUUAUUGUGUAUGUGUAAUAAUUAAUAAAUAUAAUAAAUUUUUUUUAUUUUAUCUCCAUAUAAUUGAUAAUGAUAUUAAUAUUUUUAAAUUAAAUGAUUUUAUUUCUUAAUUGAAUGAGUAUAGUUUUAGAUUUUUAUAACAUAUGUGAGGAUAUAGACAUAAUUGUAUUACAUACAAAACUAAUUCUUAAAUUCAUAUUUUGAAAAGUUAUCAUUUCUCUAUUUUUUAAAAAUUUACUAUAAGAUAGAAUGAUUUUUUCAUAAAUAUUUAAAAAAAAUUACUAAACUCUAAUAUUAACUUUUAACUUUUUAAAAUUACUUUGAGUUUUUUAAAAGUAAUAUCAAACGGGCAUUUAAUAAUGAAAAUGUAUUUAAUUUGAUUUUGCUUGUUUUAAAUCUUCACGUGUAGGCUUGAUUAAGCUUUUCUAAUUUGCUUUGACGCAGCGAUUUAAUUGGAAAUCAACUUCUUAAUUCGGCUUAAAGUUAUGAAUUAUAUUAAUUGGUACUUUAGUCAUUCCCAGUUAAAAUGGAUAUUUUCGUAAUUUUAUGAUCUAAGCAUAUAAUGGUACAUUCUAUGGUCAAAACUGCGGCCAACGGUGAAUUUAAUGAAAAUUGUAAUAGUUAUGUUUUCGUUGAUGACUUUUCGAGGGGUUAAAUGUAACAAAUGGCGGUACACAAUUGAGCGUCCAUUAAAAUUAACCCCCCAAAAAAUGAUGAAGCAAAAACAAAAACCAUAAAAUUCAGUGUGCUAUGACAUUAAAUCGGUAAAUUUUAAAAAGCUAAUAAUGUCAAUGAGGACCAUAAUAAAUAAACCAUAAACUAUAGUAGACAAUAACAAAAAAUUAAAAAUAAAAAUAAAUUGAAUCUAUAUUCUUAAUUAAUUUAUGUUAUUUUUCAAAUUAUAAAUUAAACUAUCAAAUUUGAAUUGGAUUUGUUCUAGCACUUCGACAUAGUUGUACUUGAAAUAAAUUACCACAUGUUCUAGUUGAGUAAUUGGAUAUAUGUUUUAAAAAUUAAUAAUAGAUGAUUAUAUAUUUGCAAGCCGAAAUAAACCUUAUUACAAGAAAAAAAAAUUAAUUACACUCAUGAUCCAAUAACACUAAAUAAAGGAAAAAAUUAAAAAUUUUCCAUCAAGAAAAAGUGAAUAAACUCCUCUGUGUACAAAUCCUUUAAAAUUUUCUGAAUACUAAUUAAUUAUAUCAUUACUCAAUCCUUUAGAAAUAUGGGAGUAUUUAUAAUUAAUAGAUCUCGAAUUGAAAUCAAGUACUUGUGACCUCUAAUUAAUUAAAUCUUGAAAAAUGUAUAUAGACAAAUUCGUCUUUUCUUAGUUAAUUCAACAACCAUUAAUUUUUUUUUAUUUUUUUCAUUAGUUGUGUCUCUCGAUGGAAGAUCUUGUCCAUAUGUUGGAAUUAUAAUAAAUCAUCUUAUUAUUUCUAUUGUUUAUUACUAUCACGAUGUAUUGAGAUCCAAUAUUUGAAUCCCAACUUGAGUUCUAAUGUCAUGUAUUACUUAUUUAUUGGAUAAUAAAUGUAAAAUUGCUUAUUACUCUAUUUUAUUAUUAAAAAAAUGAAUGAUAUAUUAAUUGGAACUUAAGUUAGAAUUCAAAUGUUAGGAUCCUUUAAAUUACUCAUACUAUGAGCUAUGUGGUUUUAAAACCUCAAGUAUGAAUUCAAAAUUUUGAUUGUUAUGCAUUAACUAUAUGCUUCUAAAGUUUAAAAGUGGUGAUGAAAUUAAAAAGUCUAGUGGGAUGGAUCAAAUUUUUUGUCUAUAUUUAUAUCAUCGAUAUAUUGAUAUGUUCAUUAUAUUUUUGUAACCGAAAAAAAAAAGAUCUCUCAACUAAUGAUGUUUAGUCAUAAAUAUUUUUAUGAAUAGGCAAGAAGAUUUUUCGUCAAGAAUGUGUAUACUAUAUAAGAUUAAUGAUAAUACAGGGACUAUGUGCAUAAGUUUGUUUUAUAAAUCUAUAUGCAUUCUCAAAAAGUAUUAUUUAAUAUCGAAAAGUUAAAUGGGUUUACUUGUUAUUGUUCAUUUUGAUUUUCAGAUAUCAAAAUCUUUUGAAUUGAAGAGCACGGGGGAUUAGCAUGCAUCAGCUUAUGAGGCUGCAGGUUUACACAACUUCAUCUCUUUUUUCUUUUUCCCUUUUUCUCUUUUUCUCUUUCCAACCCCUAAAAGGAAAAUGAUCUGUUACAAAAAAAGCUUACAAACAAGGCUUGAGUUUCUUUAAGCAUUAAUGCAUAUGGAAUCUACUUCUUUGACUUGCUUCGUCAUCUUCUUCAUACCACUUCCCCAAAAAUCGACAAAAUGAUAAAAUUUUCAUUAAUGAUAAUAAUUGUUGUACUCUGGUUUUUCCACAACCUGAACCCAUAAAAAACCAAUGCACCAAUGUGACAUUAUAGAUCAAUGGACUUGAAACCCUAAAACCCAAGUAACCGAUAAGGACUCUCAUGUAAGAAUAACAACAGUACAUUAUUUUAGUAUUUGGGGAGAAGUCACGCACACUCCUAAGGUUUUGUUUAAAUAGUCACUCGGAUCCUUUUUUUUUUUUUUUGUCUGAACCACGAGGUGGUCCUGAGUGGGCCCCAAUUGUGGGAGAUACCUUUAAGCCCGUACCACAACUCAGACUAAUCCCCGCUCGUACCGGGUCGGCCCAUAAGGGGUAAAGUACUGGCCAAAGUGAUGACUCCAUACGAGAGCGGGGCUUGAACCCCUGACCUCUCUUGAGGAGUGAGAGUGCCGAACCACGCACACCAGCCAACUUUGGUUACACGAAUCCUUUUAAUUUCUUAAAUAGUCACACAAACCUCAUUAAUUUUAUAAAUUACAAUUAUACCCUUUCAUUGUGGAUUUUUUGUUGAAAAGAAAUUGUUAACAAUCUACAGAUGCAUACUAUCUGAAAUCUAGUGAGAUUAUAAAUAAAUAUACUUAUAAUGACACUCUAGAUGCUAACAACAGAAAUCUAUCAAUUUUUUUUUUUUUUUGGUUUUUUACUCUUCACAGACUGAGUACAAAAAAUAUAGUUAAUGUAGUGAUCUUACUAGUGAAAGUUGAAAAAAUGAGCAGAAAAUGAUAAAAUUAGGCAGAAUGGAGUUUUAGUCAUUUUCCAUUCACAUUUUUGUCAGUACGUAUAUUCAUUUACAGGUCGGGAAAAGGACUUGAUCUACUAGUAAAGUCUUUGUCAUGUGACUCACCACGCAGGUAACUUAUUAAAAUGGCAAUUAUAGAUCACUUAAUUUAACAAGUUGAGCUCCGUGGCAAUGCAGGAAGCAGGUCGUCAAGCUGAUCUCAUAGGCGGAGUACGACAGAAGAAAAUGAAUAAUAUUGUUAGAGGUUAUUUUUGUGCUCGUAUUUACAUUUUUGACUCUAGAGAGAACAAUAGAAGAAGUGAAAAGGGCUUAGAAUAUUAUUCACACAGACAUCACCAUUCAUUACACAUAAUUAAGGGGGAAAAAAGGAAAAUGCCUUAUCCAUCAAAGGAGAUGCCUUAAUUCACAUACUCAUGGUACUUAGCCAGAAGAACAAGAAAAUUCUUCUUAUGCACGGUAGUUCCGGACAGAGAAUCAAAGUUCAAAUCUUGCUUCUUCAUUCCUGGAGGCAUUUCCCAAUCAAAUUUGUAAAGAAGAUUGGCAAGUGCAAGAUCCACAGUUGCAAUUCCCAAAUGCAUUCCAGGACAAAUUCUUCUGCCAGCACCAAAUGGUAUAAACUCAAAGUUUUGCCCUUUAAAGUCAAUAGAACGAUCAAUAAAUCUCUCAGGAUUAAAUUCCUCAGGAUUCUCCCAAGCUUCAGGAUCUCUUCCUAUUGCCCAUGCAUUUACGUAAACAAUUGUUUUAGCCGGAAUUUCAUACCCGUCUACUAUGCACUUUUCAGUUGUUUCUCUGGGGACUAGUAAGGGAACUGGCGGUUGCAAUCUCAUAGCCUCUUUCACUACAGCUUUAAGAUAGUGUAGUUCUUGAACAUCAUCUUCAUCGACAAAGCUUUUGUUGCCGCCAACCAAAGAUCUAAUUUCUUCUUGAACCUUUUUCAUCACUCUAGGAUGCAUCAUUAGGUAGGUCAUGGUCCAAACCAUAGUCGCCGCGCUCGUGUCUGUUCCAGCAACGAAUAUGUCCUGCAAAGCAAACAACAUAUAUAUGUACAUACGGAUAAAUUAUCUAAAGGAACAAAUUAUAUUAGAUUAAUUAUACACAUAAAUAGACAUGCCGUCAAUUACAUACCAUGAGCACUGCUUUGAUGUGAUCCAAAGUUAGGUCAACUUUGAACCCACGAUGUUUUCGAAUUUGAAGUAAAACAUCAAUUAAAUCCUCCUGCUGCAUAUCUGCUUUUGUUCUUUUUGGAUCUAAAUGCUCGUCGAUGAGUUCUUGGUAGAAUCUAUCAGAUUCUUGGAAGUUAUUUUCCAUGCGACGCAUCAUUCCGGUGAGUUUAUCAAUCCAACCCAUAAAAGGAAAAUAAUCCGUAACAAAAAAGGCUAUAGACAAGGCUUGAAUUUCUCUAAGCAAUGCAUGGAGUCUACUUCUUUCACUUGUUGCCUCAUCGUUAUCAUCAGAUCUCUUGCCAAAACCAAGUCUACAAAUGGUGUUGCACGAAAGAGACAUAAUUAUCUCACUUAAGUUGACUUGUUUAGAAGCAGCAGCUGAUUUUGAUAUGGAUUCAAUCAUUCUCGAAACUUCAUCUUCUCUAAUGGGUCGAAAAUUUUGUGCUCUAAUAGAGCUAAAGAGAUGAACGACACAUAUUUUUCUAAUCUCUCUCCAAUACGCACCGUACGGUGAAAAUACCAAGUCCAAGCCAUUAUAAGUUAGCCUUUGUGUUGCUACCAAAGCUGGCCUGCCAGAGAAUUGAAGAUCAUGGGCUUUUAAAGUCUCCUUAGCCAUUUUGGCUGAGGAAACAAUUAGGGUCGGCACAAAACCAAGACGCAAUGACAUGAGAGGACCAUAUUUUUUAGAUAGUUCCCAAAAUGACACAUGAGGCUUUGAGGCGUCAAACUGGUGUAAAUUACCUAUAAAAGGAAGGCCCUUGGGACCAGGUGGUAGCGACGAAGCAUAACUUGAAGUUAUGUGUCUUCGUAAAACAAAGAAGAGGAAGAUUGGGAGACACAGAAGGAUGAUCAUGACGAUAAGUAAAGCCAUUAUCCCUACUGCGAUAAUAAUAGAAAACCUCUAUGAAUAAGGAAACAAAACUCAAUUCAGUAAUAUAAAAUUAUAAAUGGGAGGGCUCUCUUUUGGUAGUCUUGUGAGGUCCUUUUAUCUUGUGUGAGGUUUGCAAAACGAAACAUAUAUAACAGAUUUGAUAAGUUCGACAAAGAUUUAAUAUCCACAUAUAUCUUACCUUGCGAAAUUUCCAAAGUUGCAUUAUUGUUGUGACACUAUUAGACAUUUGAGGUAAGCCAUGAAAUGAUAUUUUGAGUGCUAGGAGAUCUUACUGAUGAUAUUAAUUAUUGAUUUAUCUGUGUCAAUAGUCAAUAAUGCUUAUCCUUUCAUGGCCACUUGGAUUUAAUAAUUGGUAAGUUGGCCCCUUUUGUAGGCCAUCCCCAUAGUUUAUUAAUCGAGAAAACUUCCACGUUUCCGAAAUUGACCUAUGUAUCAUCAUGCACAAAGUUCGUCUGUUGUCUUUUCCUUCAGCGAUCAAGUUACAGCCGGCUAGGAUUAAUUUUUUAAGCGCUUCCCCUUUUGAGCCAUAUAUUGCCUAACGAAUCUAAGAACGUUGAAUAUGCUUUAAAUUGGAUCCAACGGAUGGCAUCAAAAUUAUCGAAAAUUAGUAAUAAGUGGUAAAGAACCGGUCAUUUUAAGUGAUGGGCAACUUGAUCAAAGGGUUAAUUCUUAGAAAAAGAAUAAAUUUUCUUCUUAUCCCUCUUCUCUCCUUCCUCUUCUUCAAUCGAAGCAAUUCUAGCAAUUCUGCAACAAAUUUAACUAGGUAAUUACAAUGUUUAAAUCAUUCUAUUCCGUCAUUAACUUUGCUUCCGUGUGUUAUUAAAUUUACUCUUUUUUUUUUAAAUCCAUCCUUUGGAUUUUGAAUAGCGAUUUUGCAAUUCAUUCGGUCCAAGUAUUUUCUAUCUAUUCAAUUUUUUUCCCCAUUUAAUUAGCAUCGACGAACAGUGAUUGAGUUGUAAAUUUUGAUCCUUUCAUGCUUUAAUCUUAAGCUUUGAAUUGGUGAAAGAAACCCAUGCUCCAACUUGUGUGGUUAUAUGUUUAAUAAAGGAAUAAUUAGGCUAUGAAUUUGUGAAUUUUAGUUUUCAUCUGCACCAUUUUGCAUCUCUCUGUUUCUUCAUUUCACCUCACUCAACACAAGAAAAUUUUUAGCCCUCACAGCCUUCAAUCAAACACACAACCCUAAGCCGACAACAAGAAUAGAAGCAAAAACAGGCCCAUAUUUGCAAUUUUCUUUACAAUCAAUUUCUUGAUCUGGGUUUUGUUUGGACUCGAAGAAUCACAACUAGAAACUGAUUUUGCAGUCUCCAAGCUGGAUUUUCCAUCUGGAUUUUGUUUGGAAUCGAAUAAAAACUCCGACUUUGAAGUUGGAUUUGAAUCUUUGAAAUCCGGGUGGCUGGAAUUCGGUGGUGGAGGUUGGCAGUGAAUUUUGAGGAGGAUUGUGUUGGAAGAGAUAGAAUCCCUUUUUGCCUAACGUUAUGGUGUGUUCUUAAUUUGAUGGUUAACUUUUGUCAUGACCGGCUAUAGAUGAGAAUUUCUCCCAUUGACACAUGUUGGCGACCAGACUCCAACCGUCUAAAACCAGUUUCAUUUUAUUGAAACUUGUCCUACAUCAAGAAUACUGACCCCCAAAAAAAAAAUUCCGAUUCCUUUUAUUCCCGUUAUUAAAGGAUGACCAUCGGGAGAGAAUUAGAUAACGGUCCGAGUUAUAGUGUAUUUUAAAACAUGAAUAGAAAAUGAUUAAUUUUUUAGAAAAUGGAGUUUCACUUUCGUUCCAAACAUACACUUACGAUUAGAUAUAAUAACAAAAUUUUGUUUUCAGCAGAUUAUGUAUUAUUCCAAUUCCUUUUUCAGGAAUAAAACGACGUUCACAUUAAUAAUUAAAGGCCUUUGUCAUGUGUGCCUCACCAAGACACCAAGACACCAAGUAAUAACAUAGAAGAAUGGCAAUUAUUGAUCACUUGAUUUAUUACUUUCAUUUCAAAGCAACGUGUUUGUGAUGCAAGAAGAAAGCGUGAAGAGCAUGGGGUUCCCUAUUGUCUUUCAAAUGAUAUUUUUUUUGUUUGUUUUAUAAUGUAGAUAUGAUUAGUAUUUGGUAAAUUUGAAAAUACGUCUAGUAGUUUAUUAAGAUUUUAAAAUCUCAAUAAAAAAACUAAAAUGUAUAUUGGUUUGUUUGUUUAGAAAUAUAGAAAUACUUAUAGAUAGUGAAGAACAUUAAAUUACAUUUGUACAUAAAAAAUAUAAGAAAUAAAUAAAAGAGAGUGGUAAAAGAAUAUUAAUAACUAUGCAAACUCUCAAUCUGCACGUAAUUUAAGCAUAAAAAUAGUGGUGGAUCCUAUGAACAAUGUGAAAAAUAAAGAUUUUAUGUUUUUCAACUUUCUUUAUUAGUAUUGUAAAACAAGCAUGAUUUAUUUUCAUAAAAAGAAAAAAAUAUCACUGUCACACUCUUAGAUCUAUUACUAAGGCCUACCAAACAUUUUUUUUUCUUUUUUCCUGUUCUUGUAAAAUAGAAAAUGAGUGAUGAGAAAUAAUACCAUAUAUACCAAACAACUCCUGAAGUUCUAUAAAUUAGUAUCUUAGUCGUUACAAGUUAAAAUGGAUGUUUUCAUCAUUUUAUGACAUUCAUAUGGUAAAAAAAAUCAACAAUUAAUCUUUAACGAAAAUUCUAAUGGUUGGUUGUUUGUUGAUAACUUUUCAAACUCAUGGGGAUAAUGUUAAAAAUGACAAUCAAUGCAUAAUUAAAAUUAACCCCAAAAAAAUAUGAACCAAAUACAAAAGCAAUAAACCAGUAAAAAUUAAAAGUCACCAAUGUCACAGGGGACCAUAAUAAAGAAACCAUAAAUUAAAAUAGAUGACAAAAAAAGUGAAAAUAACUUGAAUCUAUACUCUGUGAGGAGAAUUGGUUUGAUGUGAUCCAAAGUUAGAUCAAUUUUGAACCUGCCAUCUUUUUCUUUUAUUUUACUCAAAGCACAAACUUAAAUAAAUGAUGAUCCAAGCAUUCUUAUUUAUGGAAUCUUUGGACUUAGUUUGAAGGUUUCAUUGAAUUAUCGUGGUAGGGGACCAUAAUAAAGAAAUCAUAAAUUAGAAUAGACAACAAAAAAAAAAAGUGAAAUUAACUUGAAUCUAUGCGCCAUGAGCAUUGGUUUGAUGUGAUCCAAAGUUAGAUCAACUUAAGUAAAACAUCAACUAAAUUAAUCCUCGUGCUGCAUCUUUGCUUUUGUUCUUUUUGGAUCUAAAUGGUCAUUAAUUAGUUCUUGGUAGAAUCUAUCAAAUUCUUGGAAGUUAUUUUUUAGGUGAUGCAUCAUUUCUGUGAGUUUAUCAAGCCAACCCCUAAAAGGAAAAGGAUCUGUUACAAAAAAAGCUUACAAACAAGGCUUGAGUUUCUUUAAGCAUUAAUGCAUAUGGAAUCUACUUCUUUGACUUGCUUCGUCAUCUUCUUCAUACCUCUUCCCAAAAAAUCGACAAAAUGAUAAAAUUUUCGUUAAUGAUAAUAAUUGUUGUACUCUGGUUUUUCCACAACCUGAACCCAAAAAAAAAAAAAAAAAAAAAAAAACCCAAUGCACCAAUGGAACACUGAGCAUCAUAUAUAGAUCAAUGGCCUUGAAACCCUAAAACCCAAAUAACCGAUAAGGACUCUCAUACAACAAUAUCAACAAACAUUAUUUUAGUAUUUGGGGAGAGGCCACGCACACUCCAAAGGUUUGUUUAAAUAGUAACCUUUUUAAUUUCCUAAAUAGUCACACAAACCUAAUUAACUUCAUAAAUCAAUAUUAUACCCUUUCAUUGUGGGCUUUUUUAUUGAAAAAAAUUGUUAACAAUCUACAGAUGCAUACUAUCUGAAAUCUAGUGAGAUUAUAAAUAAAUAUACUUAUAACGACACUCUAGAUGCUAACAUCGGAAAUCUACCUCUCUCUUUUUUUCUACUCUUCAUGGACUACGCAUACAAAAAAUAUAGUUAAUGUAGUGAUCGUACUAGUGUAUUGUUGUAGAAAUUUUGAAUAUACUCGCAAGCGCAUUAAUCUAGAAAUAGAAUAGUGGUAACGAGGUCGAACCCAUAUAGAUUGCUAUUAAAUUGAAAAAACUAAUUUAAAUACAAAAUUAAUAUUAAUCCUAACUUAGUUGAACAAUUUGAGUUUUAAAGAGAAAUUAAACUAAUUAAAUUAAGAAAACAAUUAAAACAAAGGAGAAUUCGAUAAAAUAAAAAUUACCAAGAUUUCAGAAUCUACCACUAUUCAACUAGUAAGUAUCUAAUUGUUAAUUAAUUCCCAAUUUUGGAGUGACAACUCGAAAUCAAUCUAUGUCAUCUCAUGGACAUAAUGAUUAAGCCCAAUUAAAAUUAAUCUUAUGUAAGUUCUUUUUUUACUUAAUAAUAUGAUAUUUAAACGUCUCAUGUAAACAUAUUGAAUAACAAAGAGUCGAAUUUUUCCUAAGCAUUUUAUGUAAACAAUUUUAAUGAAAGACGCCGAAUUAAAAGAUAAUCAUAAAUAAAUUUUAUAAAUUCAAGCAUGGAUUAAAUAACAUCUAAUAAUGCGUCACAGAAUUAGUGAAAGGGAAAAUGGGAAAAUGACAGAAUGCGUGACAUCAGCAUUCAUUACACAUUAUUAAGGGGGGAAAAGGAAAAAUGCCUUCUCCAGCAAAGGAGAUGCCUUAAUUCACAUACUCAUGGUACUUAGCCAGAAGAACAAGAAAAUUCUUCUUAUGCACGGUAAUUCCGGACAGAGAAUCAAAGUCCAAAUCUUGCUUCUUCAUUCCUGGAGGCAUUUCCCAAUCAAAUUUGUAAAGAAGAUUAGCAAGUGCAAGAUCCACAGUUGCAAUUCCCAAAUGCAUUCCAGGACAAAUUCUUCUGCCAGCACCAAAUGGUAUAAACUCAAAGUUUUUCCCUUUAAAGUCAACCGAACGAUCAAUAAAUCUCUCAGGAUUAAAUUCCUCAGGAUUCUCCCAAGCUUCAGGAUCUCUUCCUAUUGCCCAUGCAUUUACGUAAACAAGUGUUUUAGCCGGAAUUUCAUACCCGUCUAUUAUGGACUUUUCAGUUGUUUCUCUGGGGACUAGUAAGGGAGCUGGCGGUUGCAAUCUCAUAGUCUCUUUCACUACAGCUUUAAGAUAGUGUAGUUCUUGAACAUCAUCUUCAUCUACAAAGCUUUUGUUGCCGCCAACCAAAGAUCUAAUUUCUUCUUGAACCUUUUUCAUCACUCUAGGAUGCUUCAUUAGGUAGGUCAUGGUCCAAACCAAAGUCGCCGCGCUCGUGUCUGUUCCAGCAACGAAUAUGUUCUGCAAAGCAAACAACAUAUAUAUGUACAUACUGAUAAAUUAUUUAAAGGAACAAAUUAUAUUAGAUUAAUGAUACACAUAAAUAGACAUACUGUAAAUUACAUACCAUGAGCACUGCUUUGAUGUGAUCCAAAGUUAGGUCAACUUUGAACCCACGAUGUUUUCGAAUUUGAAGUAAAACAUCAACUAAAUCCUCCUGCUGCAUAUCUGCUUUUGUUCUUUUUGGAUCUAAAUGCUCGUCGAUGAGUUCUUGGUAGAAUCUAUCAGAUUCUUGGACGUUAUUUUCCAGGCGACGCAUCAUUCCAGUGAGUUUAUCAAUCCAACCCAUAAAAGGAGAAUAAUCCGUAACAAAAAAGGCUAUAGACAAGGCUUGAAUUUCACUAAGCAAUGUAUGGAAUCUACUUCUUCCACUUAUUGCCUCUUCGUUACCAUCAGAUCUCUUGCCAAAAGCAAGUCUACAAAUGGUGUUGCACGAAAGAGACAUCGUUUUCUCACUUAAGUUGACUUGUUUAGAAGCAGCAGCUGAUUUUGAUAUGGAUUCAAUCAUUCUCGAAACUUCAUCUUCUCUAAUGGGUCGAAAAUUUUGUGCUCUAAUAGAGUUAAAGAGAUGAACGACACAUAUUUUUCUAAUCUCUCUCCAAUACUCACCAUAGGGUGAAAAUAUCAAGUCCAAGCCAUUAUAAGUUAGCCUUUGUGUUGCUACCGAAGCUGGCCUGCCAGAGAAUUGAAGAUCAUGGGCUUUUAAAGUCUCCUUAGCCAUUUUGGCUGAGGAAACAAUUAGGGUCGGCACAAAACCAAUACGCAAUGACAUGAGGGGACCAUAUUUUUUAGAUAGUUCCCAAAAUGACACAUGAGGCUUUGAGGAGUCAAACUGGUGUAAGUUUCCUAUAAAAGGAAGGCCCUUGGGACCAGGUGGUAGCGACGAAGCAUAACUUGAUGUUACGUGUCUUCGUAAAACAAAAAAGAGGAAGAUUGGGAGACACAGAAGGAUGAUCAUGACGAUAAGUAAAGCCAUUAUCCCUACUGUGAUAAUUGUAGAGAACCUCUAUGAAUAAGGAAACAAAACGCAAUUCAGUAAUAGAAAUGGGAGGGCUCUCUUUUGGUACUCUUGUGAGGUCCUUUUAUCUUGCGUGAGGCUUGCAAAAAAAUUGAUAAGUUCGACGCAGAUUUAAUAUUUUGAGUGCUAAAUCUAUAUUAUACUUAGAGGAGUGCUAGCAACAGCGCUAGCUUCCUCUGCUGACACGUGUUUGGUAUUUUGAUUUUCGUGUAAUUUUAAAUUAAUAUUAAAAUAUUAAUAUUUUUAGUUUUAUUUUAAUAUUUUUAUGUUUUAUGUAUCAUUCAUUUACCAUAAUAUCCUUAUCCCCUCUCCCUCUUGCCAAGCUUUCUCUGACCGUCUCUUCACUUUUCCGACUUCAGAUUUAAUAUGAUAUUUUGUUUUGGUUGUUUAGUCGGAUAUACAUGGUUUGAAUUAUUUUUGUUAUUUAUUUUCUGAAAUACAUAUUUUUUAAAAUUUUGAUUUAGCUAAAAAAAAGACUCUACUUUUAAUUUUCUUUCCCCCCUUUCUCUCUUUUUUCCCAAGCUUUCAUUAGAGAAGGAAAGCAAGAAAAUAAAUUGAAGAAGAAGAGAAGGAAGUUGCAGUGGCAGGAAGAACAAGGAGAAGAGAGAGCCUGGCGAGAGGGAGACAAGACAAGGAUAUUGUGGUAAGUUUCCUAUACAUAAAAAUAAUAAUAUUAAAACAAAACAAAAAAAUAUUAAUAUUUUAACAUUAAUUUAAAAUUACACAUAAAAUAAAUAAAAAAAUUAGCGAGCGAGUCAGUCGCCCUUAUGGGCGACUGUCGCUAGCACUCAUCUUAUACUUAAAGGGUUAUUUUUAGGGACCUCCCCUGAGGUUUGGUGUAUUAACACUUAGAUAAAAUGUAUUGAUGUAAUUACAUAUACCUCCCUUAUCGUUAGUAUAAAAAUACGUAUGGCAUCAGUAUAGAAGGGUAAAUGUGUAAAAUCAUAUUUAAAAUUCAAAAUAUGUUUUUACUACUAUUUUGACCGACUUGCCCGUUGUUGACCGAACUUAACCAGUUGGCCAUGACUCCACCGGCAGCCACCAUUUCGUCGCCGUCCAUCCCCUCAACCAACCCCCAUGAAGUCCCAACCUCAAUAACAUCUCAACAGCCACAAAACCCACGAUUUUUUCAUCCCACACUUGCAGCCACAUUCAAACUCAUGAGAUCUCGCUGCCGCCAUCUUGUCAAAGUCCGUUGAUGGUGCUCAAUCGCAAAGCGGGAAUGGAAUCAAUAGCUUGCCUGAACUAGAAUAGCCUGGUUGAGAAGGGGAUACAAAGUCUGGGAUGGUCGUGGACAAGAUUCGAACCCGGGAAGAAAAUAACACGGGUUGGUUUUGGGAAAAUUAUGCUCCUUGUAGGUGCUCUUUCGAAAGCAUAGAGCUGGGCAGCGGAGAAAGAAAGGAAGGGAACAAGGUAGAAAGAAAGACAUGAUGGCGUUGAAGGUGUAUAAGCCAAGCCAAAGGAUGGCGCCAAGGAAGAUGGCAGGCAGCAAAAGCAGUGGUUGAAGACCCAGUUUGGAAGCAGCAGCCGGCCAAACCUAUUACCCAUAAAUUCUCAAAGCCACAUUUAAUAAUUUAUUAUUUUGGUGAGAAGGGUAUUUUAGUAAUUGUGACAGUCCACUAACAGUCAACUUAACGACUAAUUAACGGCAGGGGAGGUUUCUGUAAUUAUAUCAAUACAUUCUAUCUAAGUGUUAAUACACUAAACCUCAGGGGAGGUCCUUAAAAAUAACCCUAUACUUAAAUCACAAGUUGUGACACUAUUAUACAUGUAAGUUAAGCCCGAAAUGAUAGUUUGACUUUUUGAGUGCUACUAGAUCUUGAUUUACUCAUGAUAUUAAUUAUGGACUCGACUAGCUUACAGAAUCUGUAAGGUACAGACUGCAGCAUCAGCCGUUGGAUGUGGAGUGAGAAACUGAACAAUAGAAAAUCGGAUGGUGGGAUGACGGGAGAUGUUUGUUACAGAAUCUGUACCAUAGACAGGUCCAUUAAUUAUUGUUUAUAUGUGUCAAUGGUCAAUGCUUAUACUCUUUUUUUUCUUACCACGAGGUAUUUUGGGGAGGACCCCAACUGUGGGAGACACCUUUAAGUUUGUACCACAACUUAGACUAGAAGUUCUCGCUCGAGAGGCACAUGUUCUCCCAACAAAGGUGACUUCCCUAUGACUUAAAUUGGGAAACAAAUCCAGUCAAACCACUUAAGGAAACUCCAUUAUCAGUGGAGCCAACACUUUAUUGGUCAAUGCUUAUACUCUUUAAUCAAGCAAAUUAACUUGCUUUUGUCCUUUCAUGGCCACUUGGAUUUCAUAAUUGGUAAGUUGGCCCAGACCCCUUUUGUAAGCCAUGCCCAUACUUUAUUAAUCGAGAAAACUUCCAAGUUUCCGACAUUGACCUGUCUUCAUGCAGAAGGUUCUUCUGUUGUCUUUUCCUUCAGAGAUCAAGUUACAGCUGGUUAGGAUUAAUUUUUUAGGCGCUUUCCCUGUUUUUAGCAAGAGAUUUUAUAAUAUAUCUCUUGUAUUAUAAUUAAUUAAUACAUAUAUGACAUAUGUAAUUAAUUUUAAUACAAACAUCACUUACAUGAUAAUUUAUAAAAUAAAUACACAUAUAUUAUGAUAUUAUUUACUUAUUAUAUGACUAACAUAAUACAACAGAUGUAUUCUAAAAAUUUUCCGUUUAAGUCAUAUAUUUUAAAGAUUUUUCCAAAACAAAUAAUGGGCCACCGAGGCAGAUGAUGAGAUUUUUACCUUUGGGUCAAAACAUGAGCUAUAAAUGUCUUUUUAAAGUUUGCAAUAAUAAUACAGUUUUAAUGUUCUCAAUAAACGAAACAUGAAAAUUACCGAUUAUCCAUGUGGAUCAGUAAAUCAUCCCCAAGAUUUUUUAUUUUGGGCCUCAAUCAAAUCAUAGUUAGAGGAUAUUUUCUUACUUUUCGGGUUUCUUAUAAGUUUUUAUCUUUCCUCUAGAAAUCAUAUUUAAGUAUUAUUUUUCAUUUUGGGUACUAGAAUUUUUCCCUCUUAAAGUAAUUCAUAUUUUCCUCAUUUGACAAAUUCACAUGUAAGUAUUUUAGGUUGUAUUUAUUUUUUUAUCUGAAAUCUGAAUAGAUCUGAAUUUAUCUGAAGUUUGAAUAGGUCUGAAUGAAAAUAUCUGAAUGACAUGUUAGUUUUUUCUUUUUUAAUAUCUGAAGAGAAAAAUUUUAAAGGUAGUAGUUUGACAUAAAUAUCCUUUUAAAUGAUGCAUAUAUUUGUUCUUCAUAAUUUAUAAUUUUCACAAGUUGAUUAAUUUGGUAGUAUUAAAAAAUAUUAUCAUUGUUAAUCUUAGUUUAAUUUAUAAUAAAAGAUGUAGUUAUAACAUUAACUUUUAUUAUAAAGUCAACACUCUUGUUUUAUUUUUUAUUCAUCAUAGUGGACAUAAUUUGAUUCAUUCAAUAUUUUAGUUAUCAUGUGAAUAAAAUUUUAAAACAAUUAAAAAAAUAACUUCAAAAAUAAUACAAAAAUAUUAGGUUUAUACAUAAUAUUGGAAAUACAUAAAUUGUUAAGGGUAUUUGAAAUUUUCUAUUUACAUUUCAGAUUUUAGAUAAAAGUAGAUUUUUUUUACUUUUUCUAUUUAGAUAAAAUUAUCUGACAAUGAGUGAUAGAUUAAAACAAACAAACAACCUAAAAUAAAUAAAUGUAAAAAAAAUGUAAUUUUAAAAUUUAUAUUUACUACAUAUUAUUAACUUUUAUUUUAUAGUUACAUUUUUUUUCACAACAGUUGUAACUUAAAAAAUACAAUACUUCAAUCCCAAACAAGACUUUAGUAUCUUAGUCGGUACAAGUUAAAAUGGAUGUUUUCGUCAUUUUAUGACAUUCAUAUGGUCAAAAAAUCAACAACUAAUUUUUAACGAAAAUUCUAAUGGUUGGUUGUUUGUUGAUAACUUUUCAAACUCAUGGGGGUAAUGUUAAAAAUGGCAAUCAACGCAUAAUUAUUGAGUAUCCAUUAAAAUUAACCCCAAAAAAAUAAGAACCAAAUACAAAAGCAAUAAACCAGUAAAACUUAAAAGCCAACAAUGUCAAAGGGAACCAUAAUAAAGAAACCAUAAAUUAGAAUAGACAAUUAAAAAAGAGUGAAAAUAACUUGAAUCUAUAUUCUUAAUUAAUUUUACGUUAUGUUCUAAAUUAUAUAUCAUACUAUCAAAUUUGAACUGGAUUUUUUAUUGCACUUCAACAUAAUUGUACUUGAAUUAAAAUUACCACAUGUUCAUGUCAAGUGAUUGAAAUCAUUCAACUAAGUUAUGAUUUUUGUUUUAAAAAUAAUGAAUGAUUUAUAUAUUUGCAAGAUGCAACAAACCUUGUUCAAAUUUUUAUGUCGACGAUUAAUACAAAAACUCAUUGGACUCGUGGUCUAGUAACACUAUCCCAAAUAAAUGAUUGAAAGUUUUGAUUAAGAAAGUGAAUAAGUUCCUCUUUAUCCUAAUCCUCUAUAAAUUUUGUGUAUAAUAAUUAAUUUUAGUAUUGUUCAUACCUUGAGAAAUAUGAGAGUAUUUAUAAUUACUUCAUGUCAAAUCGAAACUAAAUACAUUUACGUGAGCUCUAAUUAAUGAAAUCUCAAUAAAUGUACAUAGGCACAUUUUUCUUUCUCAGCCAGUUGAACAAUUCCACCAAGAACAAACACUUCUCAUUAUGGUGGGAAAUUUAUAAAAGUAACCUAAAAACUUUUGCUAUUUUCACAAUUAACUCUCAAAAUUUUUUUCUAUCAACAUUAGCCAAACAGAAGGUUUUUUCCCCAAAUUAUCGUGUUUACAAACAAAAAAUAACUGUCUUUCUCUCCUUUUAUCAAACCAAACACAGUCUUGCACUCUUAAAUCAUCACCAGCGACGGUAAAAGGCAAUGGCAAACGCCGACGGCGAACGGUAAAAGUGAAUUCCGAUCAUAAUCCAUUCAGAUCCAACACCAAUCUGCAUCAGUGAGUGGUAAGAGUUAUUGUCUCAACUUGCGAGAAAGUUUCAGUGCAAUUGCAUCUUGGUGCAACAGGCUGCCUGUCGCAUGAAAUUUUCGUGCGACAAACUGCCUUUUGGUGCGAUGGGUAGCCUGUUGCACCAAAACCGUACGACAGGCAACCUAUCUCACCAAAAGGCAGAUUCAUUGCAACUGACUCUUUAUUAGUUUGAUAGUUCGUAAUUAAUUUUUUUUUUAUAAUUUCAGACUUAAUGGAUUCAGUUGUGCUUGAAUUGUGUUAUGAUGAUUGGUGGGAGACAUUAGAAGAUGACCUUGUGGAGUAUGUGAAUGGUAAAAAUAUAAUUUUUUUGUUAGGAAAAAUUGUUCGUUUGAUCAGUUUUUCACAAGAGUAUAUGAGGUUUUACAAAUAAAUCCUAAUGAAUAUAGUAUUACAAUGAAGACAACUUUAAGGUCUAGUAAUACAUUAUAUCGUAUAUGUACACUGUCCAUGGAUAUAUUUGAUGAUGAAAUAGUGAGGGUUGUGUUGCAUAUGGCAUCCAACGUGGCCAACUAUGGAUGCAUUCCUAUAUUUGUUACCACAUCACCUCGAGUUCCGAGCGAAGAUGUUGAGCCACCCGUCGAAACAGAAACUUCAUUUAGAGUAAAUAUGUCUGGCCCCCAUAAUAAAGAAGAGGUGUUGCCAAGGACAAUGUCAUUGCAGCAAUAUUGCUCUCCAAUCCACGACAAUAAUGACAACAUUGAUGACAACAACAUUACGUUAAAGGAUGUUGGAGAAGAGGUAUUACCACUAACGACGUCGUUGAAGCAAUGGUAUUCUCUGUAUCACAAGAACGAUUUCUGGGACAAUGAUGAGACAGAGGGAGAUAAUGUUUGUUCAUAACCUUCUAAUAGUAUGAGGGACAUUCAUUUCAAUAAUGCAGGUGAUGAUGUAGGAGCUAGUCCUUCAAAUAUUUUGUCGUUUCAGCAUGAGGAUGAGUGUGAAGACGAUAUUCGUGUAAAUAACAGAGACAAUCAAUCUAUUCCUCCAAUGGUUGGAUCGAGAAGGAGUGUUGACCCCCUCACAAGUCUUGCUCCAAUUUUGCCUCGAGUUCCGAGCGAAGAUGUUGAGCCACCCGUCGAAACAGAAACUUCAUUUAGAGCAAAUAUGUCUGGCCCCCAUAAUAAAGAAGAGGUGUUGCCAAGGACAAUGUCAUUGCAGCAAUAUUACUCUCCAAUCCACGACAAUAAUGACAACAUUGAUGACAACAACAUUGGGUUAUUUUUGGAUACCUCCCCUGAGGUUUGCUCUUACUACACUUAGAGAGAAAGUAUGCAUAUAUUGACAUAUAGCACCCCUCAAAGUGUAUAAGCGUUAGAGAGCUGUUUGGGUUGUAAGUAAAAAUACAAUAAUGCCCUUCAUUCCAAAGUACAAGAAUGUUCUUACAAUCCGGAGUUGUCAAGCUAUCCUUUAUUAUUUGGCGCCAAAUGCAUAAGAGCAUUGAAAAAGCAAUUAUACCCUUAUAAUAAUUUAAUUUGAGAAUAAAUAAAUGACAUAAUGAGAAAAAAUUCAUGUGAUAGAUGGAAAUAUUAAUAUACCCCUUUAAAAAUGUACUUAUAAUUGCUGAAUAACUGAAACAUUUCAACAAGGAACAAUUUAAAAAUAACAAAGCAAGGUUGAUAUUAUCCCAUUCAAGUUUGUUCAGCUCCAAGCUAACUUAACUCCAUCUCAACAUCAUCAGAGCAUAAAAACAACAAAUGUAAAUCAAAUGGCGCGUGGUCUCCCACGCCCCCAGGCUCCCUUAUGGCUGCACAGGCGCGUCGGCGGACGGAGUCUUCUACGUGAUUGGCGGGUUGAAGAUCGACGGGCCUCCCACGGGGGCGGCGGAUGCGCAGAUGUACAUGAGCUCGAUGGAUUUGUACGACGUGGAGGCGCGUGUCUGGUUGAGAAGCCGUGCGGUUCCCGGCGGAGGAUGCGUUAUAGCAGCGUGUGCAGCCGUGGGGUUUAUUUACGUUCUCACGAGUCACGCGGUUGAGAUGUCGUUUUGGAGAUUCGACGCGCAUCGGAGACACGGAGUGUUUGGCGAGUGGAGUAGGAUGAAGACGCCGCAGCUGGCGCAGCCGUGGAAUAGGAUGAAGACGCUGUAGCUGGCGCAGCCGGUGAGGCUAGACGGGUCCAUCAAGUUCAGUCUGGUGGGUGUCGGAAACAAGGUGAUGUUGGCUUUAAUGAAGAACGGGAGAGUCUUGAGGGCAAGCGACGAAAGGUUUGUUUGGAUUUACGACACGGUGGCCGGAGACUGGAGCUGUAUCUUACUGUAUCUUCAAGUUCAUAUAAGUUGAAAUCAGUGGGUAUUAUGGGGGAAUAAAAGUCAGCAGAUGAGAAGAAAAGAAGUGGAUUGUAAAAGGAAAAGCGUGGGUACUCGAAGAUGAUAAUCCGAAGACGAUUGUAAAAAUUCCAUUGAAAUGUUAAACAAGUGGGUAUUGUAAAAAGUUCAUUGAAAAGCGUGCAUAUCAAAUAUAUAAAAAUGGUACUUGCUUGGAAUGAAAACCAGUGGGUAUUUGAAAAUAAAUAUUUCACCGUGCUCCAUGCUUUCUGUCACUGUGUAUACAGUAUGUACAGUGUCUAGUUUAAUCAAUUUACUGUUUUUUAACGAUUUAAAAAAUUUAAAUUUUUGCAAUUACGUUAUUAUCCUUACAAACCAAACGGCUCUCUAACGCUUAUACACUUUGAGGGGUGCUAUAUGUCAAUAUAUGCAUACUUUCUCUCUAAGUGUAGCAAGAGCAAACCUCAGGGGAGGUAUCCAAAAAUAGCCCCAACAACAUUACGUUAAAGGAUGUUGGAGAAGAGAUAUUACCACUAACGACGUCGUUGAAGCAACGAUAUUCUCUAUAUCACAAGAAUGAUUUCUGGGACAAUGAUGAGACAGAUGGAGAUAAUGUUUGUUCAUAACCUUCUAAUAGUAUAAGAGACAUUCAUUUCAAUAAUGCAGGUGAUGAUGUAGGAGCUGGUCCUUCAAAUAUUCUGUCGUUUCAGCAUGAUGAUGAGUGUGAAGACGAUAUUCGUGUAAAUAACAGAGACAAUCAAUCUAUUCCUCCAAUGGUUGGAUCGAGAAGGAAGGUUGACCCCCUCACAAGUCUUGCUCCAAUUUUGCCUUCGAACAUGGUUGCUCCAAACUUUCUUAACAGUUGUGACUCAGAUGAUAUCACUGUGGGUGAGUUAUUCGUUGAGAAGAAUGAAUUAAUACUACAAUUGCGCAAGGUUGCCUUUAGGGAUAAGUUUGAUUUCAAGAUUGCACGGUUUACAACGACACGUUUCGAGGCUCACUGUUGUUCGGAAUCAUGUAAAUGGCGUAUUCGAAUAAUUAGAAGUUCGAACGAGCAUAAUGGUCCUUGGGUAGUGAAGAGAAUUGACAAUGUACACAUUUUCGUAAUGAGGUAUUGGUUUAUGGUCAUCAUCAAGUAAGGAGCCGAGUUGUCGGUCAUAUUAUCGCAGAUAAAUAUGUUUAAGAAAAGAAGAUUUAUUCUCCGAAUGACAUCAAAGCAGAUUUGCAGCAGGAAUACGGUGUUAAGUUAAUAUACCAGCAGGCAUAUCGGGCCAGAGAAGUUGGUCUUGAAGUAGUUCGAGGCAACCCUGCAGAGUCAUUCAACUUGUUCCAUAAAUACUCUCAUGUACUGACUCAAUCAAAUGAGGGUACAGUCACUCACCUCGAGCGAGAUGGAGAUUGUAAUUUCUUGUACUACUUUGUAGCACUUGGAUUUUCUAUGAAGGAUUUUAUGCAGUACAUUCGACCUGUCAUUGUUGUAAAUGGUACUCAUCUAAAGGGACUAUAUCAUGGAAGUAUGUUCGUAACAACAUGUCUGGAUGGUAACAAUCAAUUGUAUAUGUUAGCCAUUGUGGUCAUUGAUUCAGAAACAAUGAUGCUUGGGAAUGGUUUAUGAUGAAGUUACAAUGAGUGAUUGGCGAUAGGCCAAAGUUGGUAAUUAUCUCUGAUCGAUACACUGCCAUAAGGAGAGUCGUUCUGAAAGUAUUUCACAAUGCAACUCAUGGCGUUUGUUUUUACCAUUUGAAAUGUAACAUUAAGUCAAAGUUUAGGAUGUCCAAAGCUCUUUGGGAUGAAUUUGAGCCUACCUUUAUUAAUGCAGCAAAAGAAUAUAGACACGAGAAAUUUAAAAGACAACUUGAAGGGUUGUAGAUGCUCCACUCGGGUGCGGCUGAUUACUUAGAAAAUAAUGUGGGUACGUGUAAUUGGGCAAUGUCUCAGUUUGAAGGUAGGAGGUACAACAUACUUACCAUCAACAUCGCGAAGAGUGUUAAUUCUUUCAUGAGGGAACCAUGAAAAUUUUUUAUUACUCAUCGUGUUGAUUAUUUUAGGAAAAUAUUACAGCAAUGGUUUUAUGAUAAAAAAAUUGUGGCUGAAUCAAUGAGUACUCGGCUAACAACAUGGACGGAUGAAAUAGUCACUGAGAGGAAAACUAUAGCUGAAAGAAUGAUCGUUUGCCCGGUGUCUCUGCAUUGAUUUCAAGUUGUAGGUGAUGAGAUCAAGGAAUGUUUAGUUGACCUGCAAAAGAAAACUUACUCCUGCAAAGUAUUUCAGCUUGAUCAGCUUGUAUGUGCUCAUGCAAUUGCAGCUUGUUUAACUGUCCAAGUGGAUUUUAUAAACCUUUGUUCAGACUUUUACACCACAAAAUCGUUGGCGAUGACUUAGGUCUUCAUGUUCUCCCAAGACUUACCAUGCGUUGCAUGAGCAAGUGAUCAAUGUCAAAGAAAUAGUAGUUACGGAUUAUGCUCUCUUUUUCCUGAAAGGCAGAUUAUAUAAGCUCCUACUCUCUCCCAGUUUGAGGGUUAUGUAAUGAUGGUGCAUGUCUUUCGCAUGUUUGUUUUCUUAAGAGCGCAUUCUUUCCUCCUCUUUUACGUCUUCUACCUUCAUCUUAAUCCUUUCAGAACAUCUGCACUAGAUACUUUGUGUGCGCGUGUUUAUUGCAAAAAUGACAACCAAAUUGUUUUCUAAUAGUGGACACGGAUCGGUUCGGUUCAGUUCAAUAAUUUUUUUUUUUUUUACAAUAGAUAAUUCGAACAAAAUCAAAUUAAUUCGGUUCUCAAUUUGAUUCGGUUUUUUUUUUUUAAAUUUUAAACUUUAAUUAUUAUUUUUGGGGCAUUUUGUGGUUUUUUUCAAUUUCUUUUGUAUAAACCGAAUGAUUUUUCCAAAUUUUUUAAAAUAAACCAAACCCAACUGCCAGUUCGGUUCAAUAUUUCAAUCGCAACAAUUUUUUUGCCAACCCCUAGUUUUCUGUCAUUUGGACAAAAAUUUCAAAGACUGAUUGAACCAAAUCCAAAAUUUAUAUUGAAUUAUGGGAUACACCAUAUAGCAAUUGAUAGAAUAAAUAUUUUUCCUAUGCUUAAAUUAGUUAUUUAAAAACAACUCUCAACACUUGACCUAACUUUUGACUAAAGCUAGAACCUAGAGGCUAGAACUACAUGUUUCUAUAGCAAUGAUAAAAAUAAAAUAAAAAACUCAAAUAAAAAAAGAAGAAAAAAGAAAAAAGAAAAAAAACACAUUGAACUUCAACUCUUAUACUAUGAAAGAAGGAAUAAUCAAAAUACCAAACUAAACAUAAUGAUAUAACCUGAGACUCCCAAAUAGACAAGAUAAUUUCAGGAAAAAUUAACAAGAAGAUUUUUCGAUAUAAUAUUACAAAGAGUUCAGCCUAAUGUUCAGCAACCAAAAUUAAAAAAGAAUGGAUCUUAACAUCAAUCUUGAGCAUCCAUGUAAAAGAGAGACACUAAUAUAAGUAAUCCAUGUAAGACAUAGAUACAAUAAAAACAAAAUGCCAGGAAAACUAGUUUCCCAUUCUCUUCACCCAUCUAAGCUUUCCUAAACUUACUAAUUGAAGUUCAAAUGGGCACAAUAAACAGAGCAUAUCUUGGGCUGUUCAACAGCUUAAUCAACUUGUCGAACAAGAAUAAAUGAAGGAAUGUCAAUAAAAAGAUUAAACUGAAGAGAAGAAGAAUGACCUAUUAUGGGAACUGGAAUGAACCUCCUAUUUGGUUAGUACCAGCUGGAGGAUUGAUUGCCACCCAAAGGAGAGAGAUGGUGAUUGCGAUAAGUCCUGACCAUACAAAAACAAUGGUAGGUGUUCUGCCUCUUCUUCCCAUAAGCCCUUUUGCGAAAGGAUAGAGAUGGGCCAAAACCCAGAAACUGAAGAAAACUCCACCCACUAAGCGACUCCAUUGUGGUAUAACACUGUAAAUUGUUCUGCUCAACCCGACUGCUAUUGCAAUUAAGUUAACCAUCAUGAUUGUGAUUGGCGGUAUCAUUAGAGAUGUCCAUUUGACAAUGUAAAGAUCAGCAAACUCAUCAUCCACAUCAUCACCACCUGAUUUCGAUGUCAAGGUGAAAGAUAUUUCAAUUCCAGCAAUGACUUUCAGCAGCCCUUGAAGCACAGCAGCAAGGUGAGCACUAGUGCCUCCAAUCAGCCAAAACUGUUCAUUUCUCCACCACUCUUCUAAUUCAAUGCCGGACCAUUUAAUUUCAAGCAAAGCUAGUAUACUUAGAGUCACAGUGAUGGUAAGAAGGUAGGAAAGGAAUGUAACAUUGAGGGUCUGGACGAUGAACUGGCCGGAGAAGAGGGAAAGAGCUGGAAGAAAGCAGUAGACAAUCAGGAAGAUAGAAGUGAAAGGAUAGAUUCCAACAUUGAGGUAUGCUAUCCUUUGGAGCAACUUCAUUUUUGGGCUGGCAAGGAGGGCAUUGUUGCGGGAGAAAAAGAUCUCAACUGAACCAGUAGCCCACCGUAGGACUUGAUGAAGCCUAUCUGUAAGAUUUAUCGGAGCAGUUCCACGGAAGGCAUCACGCUUGGUCACACAAUAAACAGAUUUCCACCCUCUAUUGUGCAUUCUAUACCCAGUGACCACAUCUUCGGUAACAGACCCAUAAAUCCACCCUAUACGCUGUCCCCAUUCAGUCUUGUCUUCAUACCAGCACGAGAUGACACUGAUAGCCUCUGCAACAGUUGAUGCAUCAAGAAGUUCACGAGGUAUGGUAAGAGCACCAGGUGGGCGUCCAUUCUUCACAGAGGGGUGAUCUGCAAGGGGACGACCUUGGAACUCUGCCACUGGAAUUGAAUCAACAAGGAAAGUUGAGUUACCAAACUUCUUAGGGAACAAAGAAAGGUUCAUCUCUUCAUCAUCAGAAUCACCCAUUCUUAGGGCCCGAUUCUCUUCAGGGGUGUUUGUAACUGAGGAAUGCUUCUUGUGACGGCCAAAGCAGCAGCUGCAGCAACCUGGGUGGUGCUCUUUUGCUCGAGGAGGAUCAAAUCCAUAGAGGGCAAUCCUCCUAAAUAGACAUCCAGUGCCAACAUAGAAUGGACCCAUAACUCCAUCUAGGGCUCGCAUGUUAACAUCAAAGAAAACAGUGUUGUGAUUUGCAUAUCGAUCAGAAGGGUCAAUACCCUCAAAUCUCUGAGGGAACUGCACAUAACAAAGGCGAUCACCUCCACGAUCCAUCAUAAAGCACAUACCCUCCCUCAAUGCCUGAGAGUUGUAGAUGUAAUGGUCACAGUCGAGGUUGAGAAUAAAGGGGCCAUUAGACAUAAUGGCAGAGGCGCGAACUAGGGCAUUCAUGGCUCCAGCCUUCUUAUUAUGGUCAUAUCCCGGGCGCUUCUCACGAGAAACAUAAACAAGCAUUGGGAGACGAAUAUCUACAUCAGUGAGAUCAAUGAGCUUGGUAUCCUCAGCAGUUCCGAGUAGAGGUUCAUCACUGGGAGGUUUCAACAUGACCUAAAUCAUCAAACUGUGUGAGUUCUAAUUAAUUAACAAAUAAACAAACAGCAUAUCAUCAAACACAAACACCCACCACCCCACCUGCCACCAAAAUACUUGAAAUACAAAGCCUCAAAAUAUCUUCGGCACAUUAUUACUGCUAGCAUAAACAUAAUGUGUUUAAAAGAAUACUAACCAUACAAACCCUGUUACCCUCAACAGAUUAUUUCAGAUCCUAAGAACAAAUACCUGAAUUAUACCAGCAUGAUCACCCCGAGAGUGCUCAGAAGAUGGGUUCAUCCAAGUGCCUGGCCAGUGGGUCCCAUCAGCCAUCCAUGUGGCUUUUGGAAUCUUCACACUCUCCACUGGUUCAUCAUCCCUGUUCUGUCUCUGAAGCUUCAUGGCCUUGAUUUCCUCCCUAGCAUGAUAAGCAUCAGACCGGCGACGUAUAGAUUCAGGUAAACCAUUGAUCCUGACCUUGAACUCAUCAUACUCGCGCUUAACUCGUCUACGGUCCUUCACAAAAUCUGACUUUACUUUGUUCUUGUAAGGAUCCCUCUUCAAAUUGAAGUAAGAUUCUGGAUUUCUGGGCUCAAUAUCAUGUUUCCGACAAAAUGGAACCCAUAUAUUAGCAAAGCUUGCAGCUUCUGCCAUGGCCUCAAAAGUUAAAAGUGCACCUCCAUCAUCAGAAACAUAACAAGCUAGCUUCUCUACUGGGUAAUCAGCAGCCAAAAUUGACAAGAUAGUGUUGGCAGUAACAAGAGGUGGUUCUUUCUCUGGAUCAGCAGUAGAGACAUAGACAUCAAUGCCUGGAAGGUCAGAUUUUCCAGUGGGGUUGUUGGGGGUAGGUGUUUCAAAUUUGUCCUUCAAGACGUUAAGAUCUGUCACACGGUUGAUUGGGCAGAGCUUGGGGAGUUGGUCAAGAAGCCAGGAAAAAGCGAACCAGAUUUCACAAACCACAGACAUCCCCCAUAGCCAAACCGCAUCUUCGUUUUUGUGCUUGAUCCUCCAUGCCAAGAACAAGCUCAGAACGGCCAUCCGAACAAAUAUGAUAACCCUUUUAGAACAAAAGCAAGAGAGAGCAAACUGCAUCCAUCAGUAUAAGAGCAAGAGGAUGACAAAAAAGUAAAACAUUUACUCUCACGGUACCUCUAAAUGUUACUAAAUUUGAAAUCACAAAGGCCCUAGAAUGCUAAUAAAAUUCGCCGGGAAGUGUAUGAUCUUAGAUCUAUUGGUGCCUUCAUUAGGGCAGAGACAUUUGGGGAUUAAAAAGAUUAUGCCAGGGGCAUGCUUAUGUGGAAGGUGUUCAGAAACAGCCAAUCUGGAUAUAUUGGUGAAAUGAAAACACUAAGAAGUGUUUUGACCUUUCAAAAUAUCAUAGCAAUUUUUUAAUAUCAGAGCAACAUAUAAAGUCUAAAGCAGAAGAAUUGCAUAAUGAACAAUAAGAACAAAGACUAUACCGAUAUGGGCUAAUAAUAGCAGCAGGUAUUUUCAGUUUCCGGGUUAGUGGCCUCCACGGCUUGUUCAUCAACUCUUGUGGCUCUGCAACUUCACCAUCUUUACCAUUUCCAAAAUUUCCAUCUUUAGGCCAUAUAGCAUUCCCAUAGCCAUAAGUUCCUCUUGUCUCAAACAGCCAACGAUUAUGAUCAAAGUCACCGGUUUGGCUCCUCAUCAGCACAGACUUUGUUGACUUCAUCAAAGACAACCUCCUCUCCAUUUUCGACAUCCCAGCCGGAGGAGGAAGUGGAAGUGGCCGCCCAUUAUCCACAGCUACUUCAUCUAAAUCUGUGUUCUUAUAUGGCUCUUUACACCCUGGGCAAAUGCCACCUCCCGUUUUCACAGCAUCAAUAUAGCAAUCCCUGCAUAUUUUAAAAUCACACUCGCAAGGGAGAAUGUCCAUACCACGCUCAUCACUCAUCACAUUGGCAUCACACCCGAGGACUGAACAGGAAGACCCUUUUGCACCAGCCAUCUGGGGAUGAUUUGCUUCAGAUUCAAUCACCUUAUCCAUGAGAUGAGCCCGGGUAACACUAUUGAAACCACCCGUAAAGAGCGAAUUCGACACAUACUGCUCCUCAACCUUCUGUGAGAUUGAUGGAUCCAUAGGUUGGUUGUCAGGGGUGGGUGGAAUGUGUACUGUAUAGUUCAUGAAAUCACUACUCCCAAGUUCACUAUCAAGAUCAUCCCGUGAGUAGUUGACAUAGCGACCCGAGGAAGUCCUCCGGGCAAAUGUCACAGUUGGAGGUAGUGGAGGCUUGAGUUCCUGAGCAUCUGAAGAUGUUGAUAGAUUUGACCGGCUACCUCUAAAGGAUUUUGAUGCCAUAAUUGAAAAAUACUAGAAAAGCAACCUUCAGUCCUGAAAUUAAAAAAUGCAAUGAAAUUCAAUCUCCAUCAAAAUACACAUUAGACAACUACUACUAUGAAUGUCUUUGGCUUAAAAUCCAAAUCCAAACCAACAAUUCGAUACUGUCUUUCGUUGUUGAAGAGUAAGAUAAGAUACAAUGACAUAUAUGGGUUGAUUCUUACAAUUUUGACAUCUUAAUAACAGAUCAUGAACAAAAUAAUUAAUGGGACCACUUUAUAAAAGUUUCAAAAUUUUCAAAAAUCCUACCUAAAUGACCAGAACUCAGUAACAACAGAUCAGUCGAAAAUGUCACAAAUCUCUGUUUAUACACCCCCUAGAAUUAAUAAGAAAUACAAAAAAUUCUCAGAUUGUCAACCAAAAAGCUUAAAUCAACUAAAAGAUGAAAGACAAAGCAGCUCUCAACUCCACUAAGUAACCCUUUAAACUAAGUGCGAAACACCAAAUGACGAAAGCCCAUCAUCCAAAAAGUUCAUUUUCCUUCAUUGUCCUUACACUUUCCUACCAACCAAACAGCAAAAAGAAGAAAAUCCAUUUACUCUUUAAGCGAGCAAAGAUCGGACCAUGUCCGAAAACUUACCUUUUUUUAUACGAAUAUACAACAAGAGUACUUUAAUUUAGAUCCAUUUUUGUCCAAACCCAAGUAGAAUAAACCAAAAAAGCAGCUCUCUUUCUCUCUAAAUCUGAAUGAUUCAAAACACUCUCCCUCUUCGACUUUGUUGAGGGCUUCAACUGUCUUAAAAUGGAAAAUAAAUAAACAAAUAACAUAAGAAUUAUAAGAGACUUAGUCGUGAGCAAGACUACGAGCACUACUCCUUCACGAUUUAAAAGCUUGCUUCUUAUUAUUAUUAUUUAGUAAUUAAAAUAAUACAUAGCUUUUAUAACAUUGAAAGAAAAAGAAAGAGAGAGAAGCUUCUUUGUUCUGUGUGAGUGGGUAUCCGCGGAUCGCCGGCUGUUUAUGGGUUACGACCAGACCGGCUCUUCACUAAACUCUCUACUCUGUUGCUGCGUACGAGGGACAAAUCUUUUUUUAAUUGUUAUUUAUUAAUACUUAUUAUUACCAGAGCCAAAAGAAAAGGGGCUGUUUAAGAGGAUUUUUAAAAUAUUGUAAAAGGGCAUUUUGGGGUUUUGGUGCUAACUUGGAGAUCCAAAGAAGAGGGUAUUGAUGGAAAUUCGCGAGAAGAUGAGAUGAGCAUAAUUAUGAGAAAAAUUUUGGAUUUUUUUUCCUUGUUUGGUUUUUUUUUUUACACUCAGUUAGGCUUGAACUCGUGAACUCUUAUAUUUAUAGUAAAGAAUUAAGAUUUUAUUUGAUAUUGAGGUAUUGUAAUUUUUAAACUAUAAUUAUAUUAAGAAAAAAUUGUAAUUCUAAAAUAAAAAUUAGUAAUGUGUAGUAAGUAAAUAAUAAUUUUGAAAAAAUAAUAUAAAUAUAAUAAACUUAAAGCCACGGCAUCAAGUAUUUACUAAAUAUUUUUAGUAUCGUACUUUAAAAAUUACAAAUAUCUACCUCAAUACCAAAUAGGCCUAAGUGAACUUGACCAUCAUUUAGGGAUCAAUUUAUAAAAUUAGAUAACAAUUGUCAUUACCAAAGGUAUGAUUAACAUGUCCAAGUGUUAUUAAUAAAGUUUUAUUGUAUUUUUAGUACAAUAAUUAUUAUUAUACGUUGUUGUCAAAUGUCAAUAACAUAAUAGAUAAUGAUUUAUAACAUAUCACUCGAAUACAAAAUUUUAAUAGGUGAAGUUAGAUAAUAAGCAAAAUUUUAGUUGAUGAAGCUAGUUAAUAAACGAAACCACUCAAUAACCCAGUAGUAAAAUACAAAUUACAUAUUUUCUCACUUGCGUAGGUAGGACUUUGAAAUCUCUCCUACGCACAACGAAGGUUGAUUUUAUUCAAAAUAUUUGAAAAAUAGAUACAAUCUAUUAUAGAGCUAAGUAUUUUAACUCAUUUAUCAAUAAAUAUUCAAUUUAGGAGUUUUUGAUGAGCUUCAAAACUCAAAAGUUUGAUUCAAGAGGCUUCGGUGGUCCUAGAUAUGGGCUUGCUAAUUGCUAUUGCUGUGCUAUUAUUAGAGAGCUACCAAAAAUUGAAAAACAUAUGAUACUCUUGUAUUGUAUUGCAACAAUAGCAAGAAAGGAUCACACUAGUAUAAAAGGUGUGGGACUGCUGACGUGUAGCGCGUCUGUAUGCGUGUUGACGUGUCAAACUGCUAGUUGUUUACGGGUUGUAAAUUGUAGUCCUCUGCAACUGGCACGCCUUUACCUACCGUGGUCAUUCGUCUUGAGCCGCUUGAAAGUUGAAACCUACCAUUUCUGGGAACAAGUCAUGCAGUGAAUGGCUGGCUACGUGGAACGAUUCGUUUUUUGUUCUAAUUUAGGUAGCGUUUACUUUUUGGAUUGGAUUGGGAAUUCUGGGGAGUGAGAAUCCUAGGAUUGGGAGUGUGGAGUGGGAGUGAGAGUAGGUUGUUUACUUACACUGGAAUGGAAGCAUGGAAUGGAGAUCAGAAUCCAAUUUAUGUGUUUACUUUGUCUUGGAUUGGGAGUAAAUAGUUUCAAAUUACAAUUUUAUCCUUAUUUAAAGAAUUAUAAUUUUUAAUUACAAAACUAAUAAAAAAUAUAUUUAAUGAAUAAUAUUUAUUUUAUUAUAUUUGUAAAUUUAUUAUAAUUAUUAAUAUUCUUAAUUAUGAACAAUAAAUUAUUAAUUGUAAUUUUAAUAUAAAAUGAAAUGUUAUUUUAUUUUAUUUAAUAUAAUUAUAUUAAAUUUAUUAUUAUAUAAAAUAAUAAUAUAAUAUUAUUUAGUACAAAAUUAAUAUUUUCUUAGAAUAAAGUAUUUAUUAUUAUUAUUAAAUAAAUAUAGUACUAUUAUUUUUAAAAUAAAUAUAAUAAUAUUAUAUUUAUUAAUUCUCUAUUAAUAUAAUAUUAUUAUUUUAAAAUAAUUUUAACUUAGAAUCAAUGUAAAUUAUUAUUUAGUUAAAUAUAAUAUUAUUAUUUAAAUAAAUAUAAUAUUAUUAUUUAAAUAAAUAUAAUAAUAUUAUUUAAAUAAAUAUAAUAUUAUUUAUUUUAUUUUAUUAAUUAUAAAACAUAAAAUAAAAAAAAAAGGUAGAAAUGGGAGAGGUGGGAGUGGAUUCCCACUCCCACCUCCCCCAAUGGGAGUCCCACUCCCACUCCCCACUCCAAAAAUGGGUGGGGCCCACGGAGUGGGAUUCCCAAUCCCUCCCCAUUUUAAGUAAGUAAACGCUGGAGUGGGAGGAAUCCACACUCCUCACUCCCACUCCAGCAAGUAAACACAACAUUAGAGGUUGGGCCUUUUCAAGUAAAUCAAACUUCCUAAACUACCCUUAUCCGUCAGAUCAUUGAAUGUCCGAAGUACCCUUAUUAGUUCGCUUCAAUUGCAGAGUAGUCCAUUUAAAUCAAAACGCGGGAUGGGCGGAAAGAUUAGCGAAUGCCUGUCUGUCUCGUGCGUGGCUUUUCGUCUAUUUCAUUGUAGUCGAAGAUAUUCAAUUACCGUACUCAUUCGCUUUCCUUCCAAAUGACGGUUCCCACAAGCCACAUCCUUCAUAGACGCGUGCUCACACGCACGAUCCCAUCACGGGAGAAUUAUAAGUCUUUGCCUUGAUCGGCAUAGCAUUUUUAGGUAGAGAUUUUUCAAGUUAUGAUUUUUACUAAAAAGUUUCUAGUUAUUAUUUAUGAUUAAGAGCUCUUAUUAGAAAUUAGUUUUCUUUUUAUGAUACAUUUAAUCGGAAUAACUUACAAUCUGAUUGGAUUGCAGGAUUUUUUUUAAGAAGAUAAACACCAUUAAAUAAUUUAAUUUUUCAUUUUAGUUGUCUAAUCUAAUAAGUGGAUAUAUUUUUAAAAGUAUAUUACAAAAUGAAUAAAAUAAGAAUGUGAAAUAAAUAAAAAUUAUUUCAGAUAAUUUUUUUUUAAAAAAAAAACUCUACAAUAUUUAUCCUAAUCUAUUUAUUUUCUAUGUUGGGUUAGUUACUUAUUAAAAAAUAAACGGGUUAGGAUUUUGUAAUCGUGUUAAAUUUUCUAACACAAUCUAUUAAUAAUCCGAUUAAAAUUUUAUAAUCUACUUAUUAUUAGGAUUUUAUUUAUCCUAACCCAUUUAUUUUCUAUAUUUAUUAGUUCAAACACAAUUUAUUAAUAAUUGUGUUAAAUUUUAUUUUAACCUGUUUAUUUUUUAAUUAGAUUAGAAUUUAAAAUUUUUAACACGAUUAUUAAUAAAUCUUAUUUGAGACAGUUUAAAUUUGAUAGGACAUGAAACUCAUGCGAAAUGAACAUGACUUGGUAAUCUGCUUUUGUCAGAUAUACUGAGAAUAACGAAUAUGAGAUCUCACACACUAAUGAACUUUGAGCGUCACGGCACGCGCCUUAAAGAGCAUGCUUGCACGACACUUCAGAGCGUAGCCACGAGCAACGGGCUCCGAACAAGCCCCAAUGAGGAGAGAAUAAUAAUUGAGAAAAUACAAGAUUUUGGUCGGGUCGGGUCAAUGAUUGAGAAAAUCUAAAUUUGAGGAAGUUCAGAUGUAAAAAUUGAUAUAAAAUGUCAUUUAAGACCCUUAUUUUUGUUGGAUUUUAUUUUCGACCUUAGGGUUUAGCCCCAUGCCUCAGUAUAGUUCUGCCCUUGGAGUUUACUCACCGUUAAUUGAUACAGUUUUGAUAUUGUUAUAUUUUUUGAGUUGGACUAUUGACACCUAUUUAUUAAUCUCAUUAAACUCCUUUUAUAUUACAACUAUUUUUAAGGAUAAAUUUAACUAGAGUUAAACUAUUUGUAUUUUCUUUCUCUCCUCAUUUUUAUUUUGCUUACACAAUAUAAAUUUUUUUUUAUUAUCAUUUAAAUAAUUUGAAUUUAAGAAGUAAUCCUCUAAGCCAAAAUAAAUUCUUGUAAUAAACAUAACAACUUAACUAAGAUACAACAUAAAGAAAAAAUAAAUUAAAUAAAAUUUUGUCCCAUUGCAACUAAUUUUUUAAGGAUUCUCAAACUAAUAGCUAAACCCAAUGAACCCAAAUUUUAUAGGUAGGAUAAAAUUGUAUUAAACCCAUAAAAUAUUCAUUAUUUUCUAAGUAUAAUGUUUUUCUUACUUUUUCUUUUAGAUUUUUUUCUUUAGAAAUUAAAUAAUAAAGAAAGUUUGAAAAGAAGAAUAUAGAUAUUAAGACUGAAAGAGUGCGAAAAAUAUUAGAAACUAAAAAAUUCAUAAAUACAAAAAUGUGUUCAUUAAAAAGGAUAUUUUUGGUAUUAAAUGGAAUAUAAUUAAAAAAAGGGGUUUUAAUAGGAUUCUGCAGGGGUGCUAAUAGUCCGACUCAUAUUUUUUACGUUGGAUAGAAAAUAUGUAUUUGACUUUUUAAUUAAGAAUUGAUAGGCAUUUUGAGGGGGCAAAACAUGUGUAUGCUUCUCAAUUUUGAGAAAAAAAAAUAGACACAUCAUGUGAUUUUUAUAUGCAUCCAAUAAUAUUUUGACACAUAUAUACUUUCGUUUAGAGUUGAGAAUCAUACAUAAUAGAGAAGAAAAAAAAUCAUUUCAAACACACGAUAUACAUUUAUUGGCACCGUCCUGGAGUCUUUUACAGCUUUUGUACAUAUGGCAUUAUUGUUAAUUAUUUAACUGUCACUCCCAUCUCUCUGAAUUCAAUUUUUUUAGCUUAAAAUUUUGACAUAAAUUAUGUGCUAUUAAUUUCAAGAAAUUUAAUGGUUGAUGAAUAGCUAUCAUUAAAUGCCACUUCAAUUUUUAAUAUCUACUAUUAUAUUGAAAUAAACCCAUCAUGAUUAAAUAUUUUGGUAAUGUACAAAGAAAAAGUAAAUUAAGUAGGGCUUAUUGUAAACGAUUAUAGGUUUUAGUUGACUUAACUGACAAAAUUUUUGUGAUGGUACAAAAACUUUGGGUUUUGAAUCUUGCUGAUAUGGGUGAGGAAAGAAUUUGGUUACCAUCACAUUACUUAUUAAAAAUAAAGAAGAAAAAUAUCGCUAUUUCUAAUUAGUUAUAAUUAAAUUAUUCUUUUAAAAUAGCAUAUUAAAGGGUCGUAUUAUUUCACUUAAAAUUUUGUUACAAUUUUUAUACAGGAAUUUCGUGCAAUCUAAUGCCAAAUAUUCAAAAUAACAUUUAGGGUGAUGUUUGAUUUGAGGAAAUGUGAGAAGGUGAGACGAGAGAAAAGUGAAGGAAAAGAGAGAAAAGGAUAGGAGAGCAGAGUGAAAUACUUUUUUAAUAUUUGGUUUGUUACAAAAUUAUACAAAGAAAGGAAAUCUCAAAUUUUUAAUUUAGACAAUUUUAGCCUUAACAAGUGUUAAACUUUCAAUAUUUAUUAUAAAUAUAAUUCAAAAAAUUAAACAAUAAUAUCAGAGAGAGAGAGAGAGAGUCAGGUCACAAGAGAGAGACACGGAUCAACCCAAACCCGAGAACCCGAGCCGCCAACCGUUUUUUAUUUUGACCACAUCACAAGCAAUGGAAGGCACUGAUCGAAACCUCAAGAGCCGGCCAUCAUUCCCCAGCCAUCACUACAGUCGAGAAACUGCGAAAAAGCCGCCGAUUAAAGCGUGAAAAGCCAAGGAUAAUGCUGCCUCAAAUCGACAUUAUUUUUUUACAGUUUCCAGUCACGCUGUUGCCUUGGUUUUGUCUAUCACGGCUGCCACUUCCAUUUUCGACCAUCCACAGCUACCAGGAACCACCAAAUCACCACCGAUCAACCGGAUUUGUCAAAGACACAAAAGUUCCUAAAUCGAAUUUGAACAAUAUACAUCCAUAUUUUUUUUUAUCUCGAUGACAACGUAUUAAUGUUGAUUGUUAGCUGUCGAGUCCAACGGUAGUGACGGUAAGAUAGCACGCGCCAACAACAGCAGCAUCGACGGUGGAGGUCCGACGGUCUGACGACUAUUAAAAUUAUAUUUCUAUAUUUUUAGAUUAAUUAAGCAAAUAAUUUUAUUUUAUUAAGCUAUUUAAAUCAUUACUUAAAGUUAACUAAUAUAAA